rnacentral:lncRNA from 1 species
ACCGCCGCGAAGAAUUCGAAGGAACGGAGAAGCAGCCGAGAGAGCACAAGCAUGAUCAUGAGCAUCAUGGGGGCGGUUUGAUGAGGAGGGUCCGCAAGUUUUUGAACCACUUUUGAGCUUUGAAGGCAUUGAUUGAUUCCCACAUAUCGAUCUCUCUCUUUUUUGCUUACUACCAGUUUCUGUAAAUAACUUUGCACGCAUGAGAGAUGUAGGAUCGUAUUUGUGUUCGUAUAAUCGUAUGGAUGUAUGUAUUUGUAUUGAGUAUGAGUGGAUUGUGUUUAUGUAUUUGCACUUGAUAAAUUUGAAAUUUGUUUUAAGAUUACUGGUUCGUUUUGCAAAUCUCAAUUAUUGAACUGAUUAAAAUCAAAUACUAAUGACUUCUCGAUCGUUUGAGAUUUGUAAAUCAUCAUUUCAUUCAUUUUCCCAAAUAUAAGAAAUAGUAUUUUUGGAUAGCGAAAAAUAACAAACAAACAAACAAAAAUUACAGAGCUGAAUUCUUGGGCUUAGGGGAACAGAGAGGAAGAGUUCUUAUUUAACUUUUUAGUAGUUGGUACAUGAAGCUGUUUGUUGGGCACUCAGUUCCGAGCACUGCAAAGGGCUGACCAGAUGAGCAGCCCCGCUGACGUCCGAGCACUUCCAUGGCGGCGUUCUUGAUCCCGUCACGCCGUGGAGGUUGAUGUUGGAGAGGCAGAUUCCGGUGAAAGGGGAGUUCUUCACGCCCAGGAUUAGACCGGCCUGCUGAACCUGCACGCCCCAGAUGUCCUUGAAUGUGAUGCCCUUCACGACUGGGAGAGCGUUUGGGUUGUAUUUUUCAUCCGGGUGGUCUCCAACAUCUCCUGCAAUCUUUAUUCCCUUCCGCGCUUUUUCCAUGUACACGUCUGACACGGUGAUGUUUCGUAUGAACCCUCCACGACCAAUGUUUGUUUUGAUGUGGAUGCCAACUCCCAUAUUGUGAAGGUUUAUGUGUUCGGCCAGGACAUUCUCCACUCCACCAGAGGUUUCGCUUCCGACUGCAAUUCCAGAAAAUGGGGAUGAUCCUGUAAUCCGGCGGAUAGUAAUGUCAGAACUUGGGCGACCGUAAGCUAUCCCGUACUCAUCCCAUCCACUCUUUACAGCCACGAGAUCAUCUCCAGUGGAUAUGUAGGAGUCCUCUAUGCAGACAUUAGAGCUUGAAUCUGCACAAACGAAUACAAAGAGAAUACAAAGAUAUAUAUCAUGAACAUAAAGGCUUCGCACUCCAUUUAGAGGAAAAUAGACAAUUUGUGAUUUCUUCAACUAAUCCUGACUUUAUCUAUACAAUUUUGUAAAUAAUUCCAAUCGAGAAAUGGCGUGCUCAGCGAACAAGAUGUGGCUUAUUUAGAAAAUUUAAAGAUAAUUCCAAUCUAGCAGCAGGUAUCUUUCUUUCUCAGUGAACAGGAUGUGGCCUAUUUAGAAAAUUCCCAUCUACCUGGAUCUACUCCGUCGGUGUUGGGAGAGUCAGAUGGAGCCAAUAUUGUGACAUACCGGACAACAACGUUGCUGCAGAGAAGAAAGAAUGUAUCAGUCUUAAAUUACAGCUCAAUAGUACUACAAUAUUCCUUGCAGAAGGUGCAUUCUCAACCCAAUUGCCUCCAGAUAGAAUAAAAUAAUGUUUAUUAAUUUUUUUUUUCAUUUAACUUUUCUGUAUCCAACGUGAAAUCGUACAAUAGAUCAAUUUGAUCUACCAAAGUAGAUUCCCCAUAGGCCGAUUAGGUGUCCAGUCGAACACAACCCCUAGUACAUGUAUAAUAAUAGCUUCAAGAGUAUAUACACAAAACAGAUUAAGAUGAUAUAUAUCAGUUUUAGGCAAGUAGAUUUGAUCUAAUUUCAGCUUAUAAUUUCAAUAUAUUGGAAAAGUCAUGCAAAAUUCAUGAAGCAUUUAACAGUAAUGCAUACAAAAUUUCCUACCUAAUCAUAAUUAGAUAGCAUUCAACUUCAGGUUGAACUGGUUAUACAAUUUACCAAGUUACCAACCCUCUGCACGAAUAUAUGUUCUCUUCAGCUACCGACAGAAGGCUUGGAAUCUAUUAGUGAAGUGAGUUAAGCAUUAGAACGUUAAGAUGGUAAGUGGCAACUAUCCUUUGUCCUAUCCCUCAAUUAACAUUUCUGAUUGAUUUGGACAAUGCGAAUGGACCCGUCAAUCCCCUUCUUUCUUGCAAACUUAUAACUUGAUUCCAAGUUUCUUCAGACCAAUUCCAUUUCUAAAAGAUAUCCUUUUAUUAUCACCCAUAUGGAAAAAGUCCUUAAUUAAUUAAACAUUCUUAAUUCAUGCAAAUGCGUAUCUGAAAUAAAAACAAACGUAUAAAAAAGGGAGAGUUUGGCUGUUACCUGCAAUACACAGGGUGAAUGUUCCAAAAGGGAGAGUUCUGGAAAAUCACAUUGGAAAUGAUAAUGUUUUUCGAGUUCAUGAACUCAAUGAGAUUUGGUCUAGUAUACUGAAGAGUUCUUUGCCUCCACAUGUUCCACCAUACAUCCCCUUGGCCAUCAAUGGUUCCGUUCUCACCUGAAAGGGAACACUUUAUUAGAUAUAAGGUAUCUAUACAACAAAAAACAGAAGCUAUGCCAACUUAUAUACCUUGAUAACCACAUCAAAACUCGUUGAAACGUACCAGUGAUAACCACAUCAUGAACUCCAUCUCCAUGGAUAAAGCUUAUAUACCUUCCUCCAGGGAGCUCCCUCCCUCUUCCAUAAGAUGGCAAAGGAGCAAUCAGCGGCCAAUUCCUAGUGUCCUGAAGCAUUAACACAUGAAGAGAGUUAGAAGGAGCAGAACAUCACAUGAAACAAUGGCAAUCAAAUAUAUCAACAUUCACAAAAAGUGUUUAAUUUUAUCACGGAAAAAGGAGGAUUUUUUUUUUUCUGAUUAUACAAGGAUAUAAAAGUGAAAAUACAAAGUGAACCAUGCUGCCGGAAUCAGGAUUUGCAAUUUUGCAGCAUUAAUAUUUAGAACCAUGCUGCUAGAAUCAGCGAAAAUACAAAAGUGAAAAUUUUGAAAAUGAUGUAUUGAUGAUUUACCUCACAAAAUGCAGGCUUCAAACAAAAUGCAGAAACAGUAGUGGAAACUGAUCUCAUUUGGAAAAACUUUCAGUAUGAGAGUUAAAAUUAGGGAGUGCACUUCUAAUCUCAAUAAGGACAACAAACGAAACUUAUGAUUUGUUUGCUGUGUCAUCAUUUAAAAUUGUAAAUUUACAAAGACCAAAUUUUCUAUCUGUAAAGAAGGAGAAUAAAGAUAAAGAUGCUUAUGAGAAAAGCAACCACUAGAUUUACUGCUAGCACAAUUAUACCAUUAUGUUAAAGCAUUUGAACAUGCCAGUUUACUCGAAGUCCAAGUUAAAAAAGGAACUGACCGAGCAAGUGUAGCGCACUUUGUCCCAGUGAUUAGGGUGGCACAUUCUUUUCCCACAUUAAACAAGAAACCAUACCAAACUCCAGGACAGGUUUCCCUUUCAUGACUGUUAAAAUAUUAAAGGGCCAACUACAUUUUCCACCCUUCAAGUUUGAGGUGAUUUUCAAAAUGGGUAAUACAAUCAAUCAGUAAGAAGGCACAAACUGAUACAAUUUCAACACCUUGGGGUGCAAUAUGAGAAAAUAAAAACUUUAAGGCCAAUUUUAAAAAUAACCCCAAACCUAGAGGGUUUAAAAUGUAGUUGACUCAAAAUUAAACUUAGCAAUUUAAUGGUGAUUUGGCUUAUGGCUUAUGGCUUUAAACAUAGAAUACACUGUUUAAUUAAUAGAAGACAUAACUUUAGAGGAAUGGCUUCAAUAAUAACAUAACAACAAACCUAGUUUUGUGUUUUUCUAAAUAAAAAAUAGUAUCCUAAUCCAAGCCAUUCUUAUCUGUGUAGGAUCAGCAAUAUACUAAUCUAUAUAUUGGGGUAGAUUCAAAGACGACAAAAACCAGUGGCAAACCCAUCCAGCUGUCCAGCAAUCUGAUUUCAUCAAUCCUAUAAAUGUUAUGCACAUGCAGACAUGCUGCUAUAGACCCACCCACCUUGUCUUCCUACUUUAAUCCUGGUUCCACCACAAAGCCUCAAGGACUCCAUACGCAUGCAUUCUUGCUAAGCCACAUAAACCCAACACAAAUGGGAUUUUAAACACAAACCCUAAAUCACCAAGAAACACAAAGUAGCAUCUUGCAAAACCUGAAAUAACCCGCUUAUUUGCGGGACCCCACACUCUCGAGAAUGACUUACAUGGGACGUGUUCAUUGCCACCAUAGCGUCUCGUUACAAUAAAACAAUGUCAUGUGUAAAUUUCUCAAUAAUGUGGCAUUGAAUUACUGGAUCAGGAUGCCACAUGACAAUGAACCCAUCCCAUGUAAGUUUCAGCGCUCUCCAAUUGGGUGGGAUUCAUUCCAAUAAAACAAUGUCAUGAGUAAGUUUCUCAAUAAAUGGUAAUGGUGUUGCAUUAUUGGAUCACGACGCCAUGCGGCAGUAAACUUGCUUAAUGUAAGUUAAAGCCCACCCUCUCGCGUUGAGUGGGAUCCGUGUGAGCGCGAGUGAGACUAAAAUACAGGGUUUCAUGUUUUCUUGAGAAACCGACUGAGAAUGACCCCGUCGGUCACCCCUACCAAGUUUAUCUCCUCAUCACAUUAACUCUUUCGGUAAACAAUAGACAUCCCAAUAAAACUUAAGCAUAAAAAAAUGUAGACCAAAACUAAAAUUGGGUCCUAAAAUUAAUCACUAACAUAGUAAAAAUAUCAAAUUACAGAACAAAAUUUAGAUGAACUUACUGAAUUGGUGAUAAACAAGCACGCUGGAUUUUUACCUGGGUGGCUCUGAUGACAGCACCUUUAGCCAAAUAAAGAGUCAUGUGGCUAGUGAGGUUGAAGCUCUCUGUUAAGUAGACCCCAGGAGGUAUGUAAAGAAGCGUACCACCUCUCCUCUUCAAAUGCUGAAUCCGAUAAAUCGCCUCCCGGAACGCCUUGGUGUUCAGCGUAACGCCGUCGCCGACGCCACCAAAAUCCACUAUCGAAAUCUUGUCGUUCCGGUACCUCAUGGGCACUAUCCCGGAGCAAGUCACCGGGUCCGCCGCCGAGAGCGAGAAGUAGCUGAGGCAGAUGAGGAGUGAAAGGGAAAGCCAGAGAGAACCCAUUUCUCGUAGUUUCGAGCAACUACGAGGGCAAUUGCGGGAUUGAGAUAAACUCCAACGGGAAGGUUCCAACAGUCGAAUUUUUGGUCUAGAUGCGAAAUGGGGUUUGCAUUAAUUAACCGAAAGCAAGAAGCUUGCGGUUGAAGAUCUUACUGGGGAGUGGUUGUGGGUUUUGGGAAGCUGAUCUAACGGCUGAGAAGAGCCGUGAGGGUGGUGGGAAUUCGGAAUCGGAGGGUUCUGGAGCGGUGCUUUUUGUCUGCAAGUGAUUGUCUCCAACGGGCAAAAAGGGAGGAGGGAGCUUGUGCGUAGAGGAACGUUGGGGAGCUCAACGCUUUAAGAACCUGACUCGGUGGUUGAUAAUAUUCGUACCAAGUACUUAUUAUUUAUUUUUCUUUUUUCUUUUUUCCCUUUUAUUUUUAUUUUUGAAGAUUCUAGUUUAAUACCUCAAAAAAUGUAAUUACAAAAUAACUUCUUUCACUAACGUUUAUAUUUGAAUUUUUUCACUUCUUCGAAUAAUACAUGUUGUUUGUUUUCACACAAAAAAUAAAAUUUUAGCUAGAAAUUAAUAAAGAAAAAUAGAAAAUAUAGUUUCAAAAACAUUAAAUUUGAAGACGUUAAUUAGUCCUUUCGACCAUGUCCAUUGAGAAGAAAAAAAGAAAGGCAACCAGAAGUAAUCCGAUGACGUACAUCUACACACUCUUUGUGUAUAAAAUGACACGUGUCAUUUGAAAUAUAUUGAAAAAAUAAAAAGGUAAAAAAUUAGCUCAAAGAUGACUAGCAUUUCUCAAUUUUAAUUGAAGUGAAAAUCGAAAACAAAUUUUAAUUCCAAAAUAAAAAUAGGAGCGGACUUUUGGGCUAGAAAAUUUGGACGUUUCGGCCCAUAAAGCCCAAACUGGGGGGUCACCAGAUCCAAUUCAGGGGACCGCGUGCUUCCUUCUUUCCCGCCAAAUAUCCCCUUUAACCUUUUUACCCGCCAAAAUAUUCCCUUCCCUAGUCCCAGUUUUUUGCCCUACCGCCAUUUCGGUUACCCCUCUCUCUCUCUGUUUUCUCGCCGCCAUCCUUCACUUGGCUCUCUCCAAGGUAUGUGAAGCUUUCAUUUGAUUUCAAUUUUGUUUUUACUUCCACUUCCUGUUUGGUUGCCGAGAAAAUGCUUGGAAAAUUUAGUUUCUGUUAUCCUAUAUUUUACUUCUCGAGUUCGACCAACAUCUUUGUGAUACUUACUGUCAAUUUUGUUUCUUUAUUAUCCUGGGUUUUGAAAUUUGAGCCUUUUUUUCAUUCUUGUUGAAAUGUUAGUUUUGUUUAAUUUCAUUGUUGGGUUUUUAGGGGGAAUUAAGGAAUCGAUUAUUUAACCUACUUGUAUUUUAAUUUUGAUUUCUCUGAAUUUUGAGAAAUCUUCCAGAGAACCUAGAAAUGGAGAAAUUUCAACUGAUCCAAUUAUCUGCAAUCAGCGAAAUAUGAUGGCGUAUUGGAUUAUCGUUAAAAUUAUGUAAUUUUGUUGACUUUGUGGAAAAGCUCAAUAAGUGACGCUUAAUUUCUGAUUUUUGUCAAUUUUGCGUGCAGAUUUAUGCUGUUUGGUUGUGAUACUAAAAUGUUAUGAACUUGUACAAUUUGUCAGUGCUAUUAGGUUAGGGUUUAGUAGUUACAUGCUUAAAUCUCUAUGAAUUUUGGAAAAUUGACAAUGUUGAUCGGACAUGGAAUGCAGGUAAUCUGCUCAAACAUGACCGGAGAGCAAGUAUCUAAAGGAAGCGAUGGCAUGAUGAUCGACGAAUAUGAACAGAAACAAGGGAGUGUUGUUCCUGAAGGAUUUAACUCCCAUUAUCUCAAAGUUUACUAUGGUAAACCCUAUUUUAGUUAUAUUCUAUUUAAAUGUGAUAUGGUUAGCUACGCAAUUUAUUGAAGAAAGUUGAGGUUCCACCAUAAAACAAUUGGCAAUAUGGGGAGUAGCCCAACCUCUUAUAAGCCCUUGCAAGGUUUCUCCUUUUACCGACGUGGGACUCUUUUACCUUUACAUCCUCACAUUUAUGACUGCUGUAGAAACUUAUGAUUCUGUAGAUUUCAAAACAUGAGCAGAUCACCACUUCAGCUUGUUGAAUUAGUUUGAUUGAUGGUUAUAAUUUUAAGUCACUUACGACUUUCCAAGUUAUAACUUAGAAUUAGAUAUUAGCAUCUGAUUUAUUUAAUGUGUAAGUAAUCUUCCCCUCAAAGAAAGUGUUAUUUGUGGCAGGAAAACUCUUUCCAUAUGCAGAUAUUUUUAAAUGGAUGUCCUAUGGAAAUGGUAAGCCGUGGAUCUUAAUCAACCAGGUCCCUGACCUACGCACUGAAAGUUGUCCCUACUGUGAAUACGUAAUCUGAUUGCUUAUUUGCAGAUGGGAAGCAUCCCGCGUGCGACCAGUCCUACUUUAGCCGGAGAGAGUUCUCUUUCACACUGGACAAUGAUGUCUAUCUGCGGUUCCAAUCCUUCAACUCUGCGUCUGAGCUUGAAAGCUCUGUCAAAGAAAAGUGUCCGGUCAAAAUAGAUAUUGGACCUGUGUAUAGUGUUGAUGUAAGUUUUCUUGUUUCUAAACCAAAUAUGAUUUUGUGGCUUAAACUUUUGCUGUGUAUAUGCUCUAAUGCCGCUCUUCCCGCCCAACUAUUUCAUAAUGCCAGUAUUGACUCAAUUAUUAAUUGAAUCAUGCAAAUCGAAAAAAAAUGUUAUUCAACAAUGCACAAGUAUAGAUCAGAGACAGAAUCUCAAUCCAUGGUUUCUUUAAUUUUACCUAUGAUUGGGUGUGUGAUAACCUUUUAUCACCAUAUCUCUCAUUUCAGUUCUAAUCUUUCUUAUUUGCAGCCUUCAAAGAGGCACGCAUAUGCUCAGAGUGGCGAUAAUGUUUUCACCCCAGUGGAGAGGGAGCUGAUCUUUGAUAUAGUAAGCUAAUCACACACUUAAAUUUUGAAUUGUCAAUAACACAAUCAAACUGAAAUUUUUACGACUGUUGUACAACAUGUUUGACUGGGUUUUCUCCAACAGGAUAUGUCUGACUACGAUGAUGUGAGGUACUGCUGUUCAGGAGCUGAUGUUUGCUUGGAGUGCUGGCCACUUAUGACAAUUGCUAUCAAAGUGAUUGAUACAGCCCUUAGAGGUAGGAACUUCGUUAAUUGUCAUAUGAUGUAUGUGUGAUUACUGGUUACAAGUUACAACCUUGCCUUUUCAAAUUUCUAAAUGUAUUUCUACAGAUGACUUUGGUUUCAGUCACAUUCUCUGGGUAUAUAGUGGUAGACGUGGCGUUCAUUGCUGGGUUUGUGAUGGGAAAGCAAGAAGGUAAUUCUCUGAACAGCUGUAAUCUAUACUUCCAUUUCUUAGGUUCUUAAGACAUGUCAUGAAACUCCAAUUAUGAACAUUUUUCUGCAGGCUGACAAAUGAACAGAGGGCAGCUAUUGCUGAUUAUUUUCGUGUCUAUAAGGUGGUGCACUGUUUAACGUACAUUCGGGUUUUGAGAUAUCAUAUACAGUAUACAUUUUUGUGAAAGAUUUUGAUUCUAUAUUUUGUUCAGGGCAAUGAAAACAGUCAGAAAAAGGUUUCUUUUACUGGUCAUGCUCUCCAUCCAUUCCUUUCGUAAGUUGUCGCAUGUAUUAUUGACUUUCUAAUACUGGACAAUUUGUUGCAUCCACUAACACCUAUUCAUUCCUGCAGGAGAGCUUAUACUGGAGUUCUUACAGAGUUCUUUAAGAAAUUGCUUUUGAGUCAAAAGAUAUUUUCAACCGAGGAAAGAUAUGAAAAGAUCUUAGAUAUGAUUCCCGAUCCUGAUCAAUGUAUAUGAUGUUUCUUUUCAUGUCCUAUGCAUUUUUAUGCCCUAUCCUGGAAUGAUGGACAAGUUAUUAGUAUUUUAUUUAUCCGUGCAGCUAUUACUUCUGAGCUUCGUGGAAGGUGGCAAGAGAAGAGACAAACCUCCAGCUCAAAAGAAGACAUUAAUGUUGUUAGAUGGGAGCAGCUAAAAACUAUGCUGCAAUCUGGAAAACCCAAGGUACAAAGUAGCAGAUGUUUGUGAGUUUAAGUCCUAUAGUACAUUGUCCUGUGGCAAUAAUUCUUUGUGAUAGGAUUUUGAUGUUUUAGAUUGUAGUUUAACCUCUUCUGUACUUAAUUUCUCUUGAUAUCAUUUAUUAUUUAAGGUGCAAGGAUUGCGUAGGUGCGUUGAAGAGAUUGUGUUCUCUUUUACCUACCCUAGGCUGGAUAUGGAGGUUUGAACAUCUUCACUUUCUUUUACUGUCUCCUUUUAUCCAAUACUAGUGAGUAGUUUCUAGUAUACAUCCUCCUCUGAUUCAUUUACACUUUGGAAGUGUGGAUAUCGUGUAGCAAGUAUAAACUAACUACUUCAGAAUUAUAUGCUGAAAGAUUCUCUCUUGCAAUGUAUCUGUUUAUGGCAGGUUUCAAAACACAUGAACCAUUUGCUAAAGGCACCAUUCUGUGUACACCCAAAAACAGGUUAGUCCCUGGGGCACUCUUUCCUUUCUUGGGUGGUACCGGAUAUGAUUACUAUGCAUCUGGAUGUUCUUAAUGAUGCUUUUUUUAUUAUUUUGUUUCAGGUCGUGUUUGUGUUCCAAUUGAUCCAAAUCAUUGUGAGGACUUUGAUCCUACUGCGGUACCAACCCUUUCCACUGUAAGUAUCUACUACACGUACCGUUUCGUUCUUCUCUGCAUACAUAUUUACUUGUGGGUCUGUUAUUUUUGUCCAACUUUCCAUAAAGUCAAGAUGUAACAUAGUAUAUUUGAAAUAAUAGUAUAAUUUCAAACACCUGCAUUUCUUGAUGGUUGUACAUUUUCAAAACCUCUUUAAACAAUUUUCCCCUCAUAAUAUGUUCAAUUGAUACCACUUCUACCGUUUUAUGAAUGCAUACAUUCCUAAGUGCAUCUUUUGUUUGUAUUAUUAUCACUCAAGUAUCUUUACAUCUGUAAUCCAGCUACAGUCAUCAUAUGGACAUGUUGCAACCUAGUUGCCUAGCACCACGUGCAUAUAACAUUGUUGGUCUAAUCAUUUGGGCAACACCCUCCUUGCUCUUUCAAUCUUUACGAAUGAUUGAUCCAGAUAUUGAAAAAUAGCCUAUUUUAUGGUGUUGGGAAACAUGAGUUCUAGUUCAAUUUUAAUCUUAUUGAGCAACGAAUUUUUGUCUAUCUAACGUUUCUUACUCAUCAAAUUCUGAUUUCUAUUUGAUUGCAUGAUUCAUUAGCCAGCUGCCUUCUUUAUGCGUACUUGUAAGGCUAUCUAGUUGUUGUGCAACAUUCUUCAUCUGAAACUAGAAGAUUCCAAGCAUCCAUAAAGAUGGUCGUACAUGCCUUUUAUUUUGUAGAUGCUAUAUAAGCUUUUCUAUCGCUCUGCAAUUCAUUGUCCUUUAGUUUUUGGGUUCUUACAUGAUUAUUUUGAAUUCAGCUUUUAGAACAACUCAACAUUGGAGGCUUGAGAGCAGAAGGUGAUAAUGGUGCGUCAAGUAACACCGCUUAUCUUUCAUUUUAUUGAACAUCGAAUCUGAUUGAGCAUAGGGGUUUAUACCUCGCGGAAACAUUGUGCUGUUGGGUGAUUGUAUAUUGUAUCAUGUAUGAUUAGUGAGCAGGAAAAUGUUCGCUUCAGGUGAACCUGCUCUAAAUGAGAAAAUGUUUUCUAUUAUUUAUCACAGAAUGGGACAGAACGGCACUCGGACAAUCAAUCAGGUUUUUCAGAUCAUCGUUUCUGCAGCCUCUGCUAAAAUCUUGCAAGGUACAUAACAUUUUAUUAUAAUUCUUCUUCUAUUGAAAAACUGACCUAUAAACCAGAAUCACCUUCUCAUGAUGCUGCAGUUCUCUUUACUUACUUGAGAAUUAGUCUUAAACCGUAUUUUCUGUCAAGCGAAACAGGAGUUAACCCCGUUUCUUUAUUUGAAUGAACUACUUUUGUAGAGUAGAAUACAGUAUUCAACUACGUCGUAAAGUUAUAACGCAAUUAUUUUUUCAGCCUUAGUUCUUAUGUAUGUGUACAUGUUUUUUUUCAUUCAUGAAUGUUGCAGGAGGAGAUGGAAAGCUCCUACACUGCCAGGCUGCAGCAGUCGAAUAACUCCUUUAAUUGGUAAAACUGUUUGCUAUUCAUGUUAUGAUGUCCAACUUUUAUGGAUCUAGUUGAUGCUGGAAUUAUAUUUUCGUUCGACAAUUAGGAUUUCAACAAAGAACCGACAUCUAUUUGUAGAUAACAUUUACUAAUACUAGCGUUUGAGCACUACUCGGUGUCAAUUUCGUGUUUAUAAGCCGUCAAUAACAUUUCAUUUCAGUCGACAUAGAUAUUGGCGUUAUCUAUACGACAUCCUUUUUUUGUUAAACGAUAGACCUGGAUCAAGACCCAACAUUUAUGACAUGAUGAUCAACCAUUUCAACCACCUGUUGUAUAAUUUUGAAUUAAACAACCAGUAUUGGUACUUGAAUUGGUAAAAUGGAUUAAGACAGUGCACGGAAGUGGUGUGUUGUCUCGUUCUUGAAAGGACCAUGAGUGAAGCGACAUCAUGUUCACAUGGUUUCUCAUCUCUGCAAAGUGCAGGAAUUAGAGAUAAGGCUUUGCUCCUUCUUCACCUACGUGGCUCACAUCACCAUCCAUCAUCUCUUAUGAGAACUUUGACCAUUUGUAAAUUCUCGGACAAUUUGGAAUUUUGCUACGAUGCUUACAACUUACAAGUGCUGAGCAAUAUCACUAUUUAUCAAUUUAUAUAUGACCAUCAUACGGUGAUAAUGCUCAAUACUUGUAAGUACUGUAGGCACUUCAACAAUUUGAGUAGUCUAAUAAAUUGUGCAAGAAACUUUGAAGAUCCUAAUAUUUUGAUGGGUCCAAAAUUUGAGUAUUUUGUUUCAAAAAAAUACUUGGCUUCUUUCAAGGGAAGUCCCCAUGUCAAUUACUAUUUGACAUGUGUAUAGAAUUUUAGAGUUAUAAUUGUAUACUUGUCAAACUGUAAUUUUGAAACCAAAAAGAGCCAAACAACAAUCCUUUUGUUAAUGCACGGAGAGUUACACUUGUAGGAAAUGAGAGUUAAAGUUCAUUAAGGAAUUAACUUGGCUCCUUAAUGAAUAAGGAGGAGUUCCUCUUUACUUAAAUAUGUAGCCAAUUCAUGGAACUUCAUACUUAUGAUCGGAUCCUUUCAUAUUAUAAAUCAUUAUAUAAAGAUCAUCUUUGCAAAAAAAAAAAAAGGUUUAAAUAUGAGAGUGUUUAGUAAUCUAACUAUAUAAAAACAUAUAGACAGAUUCGGUAAAUAAAUUAUGAACAUUCUAUCUAUUUGUUACAAUUAAUUGACCAAACAACCUUAGUUUUAAUUGAUUUUUUGUAGAGAUGAUCUUUACACGGUGGUUUAUUAUAUAAACAGUUUUGAUCAUAAAUAUGAAGUUGAGUUAGUCACCAAGUGAAUUGAGGAAAAAUUCCUCCUCAAUCCUAAGGAGCCAAGCUUUUCUCAUUCAUUAAUCACCUUAUUGAUAGAUAAACAACCAUAAUUAACAACUCAAGGUCCCUCGGACAUUUUAUAAGACUGAAAAGUGCCUCAAUAAAAAAGACAAGGCACAAAUACAUGAGAAAAUUUUGGGUGUUAUGGAGCGUCAUUUAUACCCCAGUUUCUUUACCUCUGUUGGUUCUGUAUGGGAUCCUUGUUCCGAUUCCCAAACCAAAGUUUUCGAGAUUCCCAAUUCCAAGACCGAUCUCAAACCAAAUUUUCAAGAAUUCCAAAAUAGUUUCGGGAUUGCAGGACAAAUUGGAAAUCCGGAAAUAGUUUUGGGCUCAUGUGUCCAAACAAUCGUAACAACAUAGAAACUUUGUUUACAGCUAAACAGUGUAGCUAAAGUAGCAAAUACACACAUGAAUUCAGAGAAAGUCUCGGCAAAGCAUUCAGCUAUUACAACAUUCAUCGAAAAAUAAAGAAAACUAUCCUCCCACAGAAUCUCCAAGGCAAGAAACCAAACUCAUUGGCCUAAAUUCUCUCAUGCCUAUAAAGAAAGAGAAAUUGAAAACCCCAAAUUUCAAACGAAAUUGAAAACCACCAAAUCCAAAACCCUAGAAUUCAAAUGCCCAAAUUAAAAACGAAUGGAAGCCACAAACAGACUUUACCACAUCAAGAUUACCAGAUGAAGACAAGAAUAUUACCUUAGUGAAGAGAGAAGCAGAAGGAAGCAGAGGUGGCUGUAUUGAUUAUCGAAUGCAGAAGAAGUUGUCAAGUGCAAAAAGAAAAUGGAAGACUGGAGUCUGGAUGUAGUGUGAAGGUAAGGGGGAGAAAGUGAAAGAGUGGAGGUCGAGAGAGAUUUGUGGGUCUGAACUGAAAGGAGUACAGGAGUAAGGAGGGAAGGAAGUGAAGGUGAGGUUGGGUUUCAUUUUGAAUGAACGGCUGAGAUUAAUUCUCAACCAAUCCAACGGCUUAUAAUAUCUAAAACUACAUAUAUUUUAACUUCGGUUCGAUUUGGUUUUACCAAAAAAAUCAGAUUGUGAGACCAAAUCUCGUACUGAAAAGGUCGGGAUUGGUACCAAAAUUUUUAGGAUUUUCGAUUUGGGAUUUGUUUUAUUCGGGAUUUUUUCGGUACAGUUCGAGAUUUUCGGUAUUUUUUUCCUCUCCUGAGCUCUAGCUUAAAACAAGAAAAACAGUUCUCCCAAAAAAAAAAAAAAAAACACCAACAUAUUAAGAUAGCUCAUCUUAUUAUAAAUUACAAUUUACACUUAAAAACUCCAAGUACUAAAGCUACACAAAAACAAGAAACACAAGUACUAACACUUAUAUACCUAAAUUUGCAAAAGUUAAUCUAAAAACCAAGGUUUCCCAGAUCAAAUCCUCUUUCUAAUUAGCAAGAACUUCCCAAAUCAACUCAGGAUCAAAUGAAGGCAUUCCUGCAAGUGAACACCCUUCAAAUUCCGACUCUUCUCCCAUUCCCAACUCCGCCAUCCCCAUUUGAAACUCUGUUGAAACAGACGGCGGUGAGUUCUUCUCACUCCUCCAAACACCGUCCUCAGACACGGUCGGCGUCGGGGUUAAUGACGCCAUUUCGUGGCCAAAACCGUCGCCAAAGACCAAAGGAGACGACGAGGACGACGGAGAGGAUUCCACCUUCACAACCUUCCCAUUCUCACUGAAACUCCCAUCACCGCCACCAACUGAAGAACUGCUCUUCUUCACAUUCUUCUUGGCUCUGUCCCUCUUCACCUUCUGACAAAUCGCUUGGAUUUUCGCAUCCACGGAGUUUUUCACGGCGUUCAGUCUAGAACCGUCGCCGAAACCCAACUUGCUCGGGUCCUUAAGAUUUGGGAAGUUCAACCUCGCGUACUCACCGCGGAGCUUAUAGGCCGCCCUGUCGUACGCAUAGGCGGCGGCUUCCGCGGUGUCGUAGGUGCCGAGCCAGACCCUCAUUCUGUUCUGAGGGAGUCUGAUCUCGGCUACCCAUUUGCCCCAAUGCCUCUGCCGGACUCCCCUAUAGAGCUUCUUCUUGUAUGGAGCCAUGUAAGUGGUUGAAGAACAAGCCGAGCUCUGCAAUGGGUUCGUCGCAAAAGAGCGCGAAACCGUGGCGUUUGCGUUUGCUCGGCUUUCAUCGCAGAACUUCUGGAGAAGGUCUCUCUGGCGGAGGUAAACUGAUGAGCCCAGCGGCUCGGAUACAGAACUGCCGCUGCUGGUGGUUGUUACGGCGGUGGUGAGUGUUUGUGGGCAGUGAGAAAAAAUCGAGUCCAGGGUGUUUGUGGAGCUUGUUAGUAUGAUACUUGAGAGAGAAGAUCGGAUGUCAAUGGCGUCUGUGAACCCAAAAGCAAGAUUGUUUUCUUGCAUUGUGUCCAUGAUUUUCUGGGGAAAAAAAAAAAAAUAAAUUGAAACAGCCUGUUCGGAAAUAUUAUGUGUGUAGGAAAACAGGGUACCAAAAAGAAGUCCCUUUUCCUAAAAAUUCAGAACAAAAACUGAAAAUUUUCAGAUGGGAAAACAAAGAAAAUGAAGGAGAAGAAGUGAGUGAUGAUCCGAGAAAAAAAUAUAUGGAUCGGAAAAUAUCAAAGAUCAGAGCUCAAGUUAAAACUUAAAAGAAAGGGGGAAGCUUUUUGGUCUCUGAAGUUUUGGAGCAAGAUUUGUGGAAUUACUAUGCUGAAAGGGUGGAUGGUGUUGCUAUUUAUAGCUGCAGUUUAUUGGUUGGAUUUUUAACAUCUACCUCUGUCCACGAUCCAAAAUUCUACAUGGUUACUCUCAACCCAACUUUUAAUAUGGCUAUAUUGCCCUUUUGUGUGGAAAAUGAGCCAAAUUUGUGUUUAGAUUUUUUAUUUAUUUUCUUUCUUUAACUUUUGGUUUAAUUCGUUUGUUGAGUUGAAGAAUAAGAGCUUUUUUGUUCAUUUCAUUACUUUUAUUUCCUUUUACAAUCACAAAAUUAUGUAACGACUGUUGAUUUUUAAUUGUCUCGUUCUUUAACAACUUAAGCUUCUGCGAUUUAGCAAUAAUCUAAUACUAUAUCAGUUAUCGUGAAGUUGAAAAUUUGCAAGUGACUGAGGGUAUUAACUUGAUCCUCAUUAGUUAAAGCUUAUGCAGUCUCAAAUUUCUGUUUGAGUAUGUUUAGCUUGAAUUUCAGUUGGCUCAACCCUUAACAUAUUAAACUUUUGGGAUUCAACAAUUGUUAAAAAUUAUAUUAAAAAGUUGUUAACACGAAAUAUGAACUUGUCAGCUUACUCGCGAAGAAGCGUGUUAACUUAAUUUACAUCAUUAUAGUAUAACCCUCACAUGGAUGAGUCAUUACAUCAUAACCAAUUAUCAUUGAGUUUUAGUUGCAAUGAAAUUGCUUAGGAAGGAAUGAAAAUUGAAAAGACAAAUGGAAGGCUCUCAAACACACAAAGUGCAAAAUAAUUAUGGAAAUGAAGAAGGGAUAAAGGGUGACAUUGUAAUUGCAUGAAGGAUCUAGAAACCCCAAAAGGUGUAAUUCAACUGUUUAUGCAAGCAAAUCCAAUUGUUGAGAACUUUAACAAAAAGAUACCAAUACAGUUCAUUUUAACGAAAAAUCAUAUAUUUACACUAAAAAAUUAAUCAUGAUAUUAUUUACUUUACCCUUUAUUUUGUUUUUAUCAUUAAAACUCAAAAUUUUCAAUUUUUUUUAUUAGUUUUCAUUUCAUUGUUUGUGAAUGUAAAUCAAUCGUGUAAGAUUUUUGGUUUCACUCACUCACUCCAUGUGGUCGGCGGUCCCCUCUUUCUGUUCGAUCAAAAGCUACUUUGUCGAUUUAUCAUACUGAGAGAAGAGUCAGCUCUUCUGUUAAAGUCCAUACCUUCAAUAACUCUUCUUUGCCACGCGUCUUCCCUCUUCUCCCUUCCAGUCCAACUGCACAGAGAUUUUGCCUUUUCAUAUAAAGUUCAAUCAUAUCUGUGAAUAUUCGCAGCUUGAUCGGCUAGCCAUGAUUUGUAAAGCAUCUUACAUUAAGCAAUUAUUAGGGUUUGUAGUUUGACCCCAUUUCCUUCAAACUAGCAUGUGUGCCGAGAAGGACUUACCGAGUUGCGGAGUAAGGAUUUUAAUUUAGAAGAUGCUCAAAAGUCUCAAUAUAAAACGCUCUCUUAAUCUUACAAAUUUAUUAUGUUGUGUAGUAAGCAAAUGUCCAAUGUUGUGUGGGUCUAUUAUGGAAUCGUCCUCAUCUUCCUCUUCUUUAGAUCUAAACCCCAAGUCUCUCUGACUUUAUUUCUCCCUCCCUCAUUCUCAAAGCUCACAAGCAACGGAUUGCUUGAACUCCAUAAGAGUCACCAACCUUAAAUCAAACACGAUGAAAUAAAUUAAAAAAUGACAGACUCGGAUUGGGAUCAUGUGCCUACGAAAAAAACCUUGAAAUCAUAAAUAUAAUACUAAACUUUUCUACGCGAGAAAAGAUGUCAGAUUGAACCUUAUGAGACCAUCGUGGUCCCUUCAUAACUCUGCCGACAGACUUACCUACACUUUGAAAUACCUACUACAAUAUUACGGACCGUUGAUACCACGUUUCUAUAUGUGAGGAAGUUUGAUCAAUUUUCUAAGCUUUCUAACAUUAAGUAUUACAGUUUGGAGUUUGAUCCAUCGAUCAUCACAUCAAACAAAUAGUUGUACAUGUAUGUGGAGAUACCACGUGAUACCACUUGACGUUUUGGAUUAAUAGUACGAUUAUGUCAAGUAGGGAAGUUUGAUCUGAUUUCUAAGCUUCUGACAUUAGCAAUAAUAAGGGUUUGGAAUUUGAUCCAUUCAUUUCAAACAAGUUGUGCACGUGGGGAAGUCUCUCGUGCAAGUGUGCCAAAUUCCUUGGCUACUAGGGAAUAUAUUUAUAUAUUAGUUUUAUGAAUAAUCACGUCAAAAUUAUUAUUAAUUGUUAAUGUAUGUGAAAUUUAUAAUAAAGUUUUCAUGUGUCAAAUAUUUAUAUUAUUAGCACACACGUGAGCCAAUGUCCUUAGAAUUUUCCGUAGAAAAUAUCCAAAUAUAUACGAUCCUCGUUAUCUAUUUUUAUUAGAUAUUGAAUAAUAAUGGGUUACUAUAAUAAGCAGUAAGGUCUAUUUCAUUACAUUUUUGACAUGAUAAGCUCAACCAGUCAUCUUCUAUCCUUACUUUUUCCUUCUCACAAGAUGAGUUUAAUCUACCCUGAUGUGGAUUCCUAACUGCAUAUUCUCUGUACAUGAAGUGAAGGUUUUGUGCUCUGUGAAAAAUUAUACUUAUCCUAAUUUGGGAAAGGUAUGUUUGCAAAGAGCUUCUCAAUAGUACCCAAAGAAUUCCACUGGGAUAGGAAAGAUUUCAAUGUGCCCGGAAUAUAGACACAUAUGUCAUAUGUUAUUGUACAAAUGGUGCAACACUUGAAAGAAAUUUUUUAUCUCCACUUGUACAAUAACAUAUAACGUACCGUCCCGUAUUUCAGACACAUAGAAAAAUUUGUCUCUGGAAUAGAAUGUAAGAUUGCUACAGAAUUUUCUUAUGAAUGUCGCAUCAAUAUUCAAUAGUAUUUAUAUAUUAUGAUCAUUAGGGCAUGCAAUAAAUACGAAAAUAAAGUACCAUGAGAUUGAGAACUUGAAUAAUGGUUGAACCUUUUUAUUUUAAUUGCCAACCAUUGAUACUAUCAGUGUCUUAAUCAACAAAAUUAUGUUCAAAUUUUAUUGGUUCUUAAAAAUUGUAAUACCAUUUGAGAUUUUCUUAAAACACAGUAAAAGAUUGAAGAACUUGAGUGGUAAUUUCUGAAUUGACAGAUAAAAUAAGGGGUAAAAAAUAAAGGCUUUGUAGUCAAAAUAGUCUCUGAGAUUGGCAUAACUUCUUACUUUGGUUUUGAGAUUUAAAAUAGAUAGAACUUGUCCAUGAGUUUAUCAUAUCAAUCAUUUUGGUUAUCAUGUGAAAAAUCUCUAUUAAAGUAAGAAAAAUGACAAAAAUACCUAUAAUUUUGUCAAAUCAUUUUGGGCCCAUUGUUUAUUAAAUUAAGAGUAUUUUUGUCAUUUUGUUCCUUAUUUAUCAGAGAUUUUUUAUGGAAUGAUCAAAAUGAUUGAUUAUGAAUAAACUCAAGGAUCACUUAUAUUAAUAUCAAAUCUUAUAAAUCAAAGUGAAGAGUUAUGUCAAUUUCAAAGAUCAUUUUGGCUAAAAAGUCAAAAAUAAAUGUUGGAAGGUAGCCAUAAAUUGUAGAGGGAAACUUGUGGUGCAAUUGAAAGUCUACAGAAUCCACUCAGAGAUUGGGUGAUCUUGUAAGUAAACCUAACAUUUCCAUAUACCUUUUCAGUCACUUGUAUUUUCAAUCAACCCUAAUGGAAUCUAUAUGUGACAUUGCAAAUUGAAUUGAUUUUGCAUUUGAAUUAUAAGUUGUUUCACAAAUUUGUACAAACUUUUUUAUUUGAGUAGCCCAUAGGAGUUAGGAACUGCAACAUGGAAGAAGAUAACUCAUUUGCUUCUCUCCAUGUCAUGCCCAUAGCAAAUAAAAGGGAAAGAAAAGUUGGUCAUGUGUCUUUUAAUUGACUUAAUGACCACAAGUACAUAUUACAAUGGGUUUCCUUAGUAAUGAAUUUCACUUUCAAAAUAUGUGUGGUUAUAAUCUUUUGCCGUAUAAGGUUCACAACAAGUUUCAAAUGCAUAAACGGAUGAUAAUCACUUAAUAGCUCAAUUUUUUUCAUUAAAACUGAGACGGAAAACAGACAAGUGCUAACAUAAUCGAAAUCAUUUGGUUUAGUGACAACUAAUUUUUACUUCUAUAAAACAUACAAAGUUUUGAUUUUAUAACCGACAAUUCUAAAUUAAAAAUGACAAGAAUUGUAAGAUACAAAGGAGAAAUAGUGCAUGCUAGCUAGUGAUCGAGAAAGGCAUCACGUGUAAGCAUACAAUAUCACUAAUACAAACAAAGCCAAAACUAAAAUAUGAGUCAUCUUCUUCACCAAUAAUUAACCACUGAUUGAAUGAUUUCUUAGACCAAUUUUCUUCCAAACUUCCGAAGGGACAUCUUUGGAAUAAUAAGAAAAGGUUGGCAUAUCAUCACCUCAUAACGGGACCAACCAUAGUAUGGUGGCAUUGAAGACGUAAAGGUGUUCUUGAAAAGGUGAUGGGGGGUUGUCCUUUUGAAGGACAAAGCUCGUGAAACGACAACACCUCCCAUCUUCUUCAUCGGCCCCCAAGAAAAUAAAAAGUUUGUGUAUUUGCAUGUGAACGAAAACCUAACCGAUCCUCACAAAUCAAAUCCCAAAUAGUACUACUUGUAAUUCUACCACGACUCCACCUCCACCCCAAAAACGUUUACCUAGUUUUUUGGGUUAUUAACCAAAAGAAGUUGUGGUUCAUGUGGGGAAAACCUAACAUGCAUAACUCGUUGUAUUGUAGGGGUUGAAUUUUGUGAUCACAAUUAAUUGAGUUUUCAUUUUUCAUUCUUCCCUUCCAUUCUAAUGUCAUUAACUCAUUAAGGUGUUCUCCAUUCUUAGAGGAAAAAAAUGCAUUAUCACGACAAGGUAUGAUCAUAACAAGUUACGAUCACACAAUCACGCCAUCUCUAAUUGUUUGGCCAUAAUAGUGCAGGAUCUUUUUCAUCUUCAAUGGUGCGGGGCUAUAUUUUGUUCCUCUCACUAUUUUAUUAUUUUAGCAUAUUUUAGUGUUUAGGUUUCGUUUUUAUUUUCAAUUUAAAAACUUAAACUAAUUACUAAACAAGAUUUUAAUUUUUUAAUUUAAAAAAAAUCAAAAUCAUAAAAAAAUAAAAAAAAUAAAAUAAUUAUCAAAUAGUUUCUGAAGUCAAUUUUGUCGACUGAGUUUUGACCUGGCUCAACAGAGGGGGGCAUCUGAACGUGAUUCAAUGCCAACACCAAGGGCAAUUGUACGACUUGAAGGUCAAAAAGUUAUAUUUUGGCAGUAUGCGGACUGGGUCGCAAAGCAAUCUGGCGACGCCGACUAUUUCACAACUGUCUCCUGAGGCCGACACGUCCCACCGACGGCCUCACAAUUCACUGGUCGACUACUUUAUUUCUCCACCGGCAAAAAAUAAAAAUAAAUAAAGACUCGGUCUCGUGAAUCAUAAGCGAAUCAACCACCACCACGACGGAAGAGGAUCCUCUUCUGAGCUUAUGAUGGGGAUCCUCCUGAUCAUGAAAUUCGGGCCGUUCAAAUUUAAUCUAACGGUUCCAAACAGAGGGACCCUCUAAAGUUAUAAUAAUUACAACCGUUUGAUUAAAUUUGAACGGACCGGAUUUCAUGGUCAGGAGGAUCCUCAUCCUAAGCUCAGGAGAGGAUCCUCUUCCCACCACGACGCCAUUUCCUUCCCCGCCUAUUCACGUACUUGCGUCAAAACUUUUAUAUUUGAGGUCAUCGUGACGUCACAUUAAGAUUUUUUUUUUGUUGGAAUUUAUUAUUUAUUUGUUGAAUUUUGUUGGAAUUUACAUGAGGAUGAUUUAAUUAGGACUAGGAAGAGAAAUUUUGGUAUCAUUGAUCCACAUAUUUUUGACACACUUAUUAUGACGAGUUUAAUAAUCGAUUCUAAAACUUCUUACUUACGAGUAGAUAAAAAUAUCACGAUGAUAUUUAAAACUUAGGUAUAAUAUUAUUUAGUAAAUACCUAUGUUCUAAAAAAUAUAUUGAUACUAAAAGAAAAAAAAAACUCGGCCUAAGGGCCUAGAUGCUAUGCGGCUGGCAACUACUCUAGAAAGAACGCCUAAACUUGCUUAGGUGCUCAGCUAGUCCAUCUAAGUGUCCGCCUAGAUCCACCUAGGCACCUACUUAGGUCAUUACUCUUACUUCGACAAAAUAUAGAUAAUUUUAUUUUGCAUUUUAUUUUUUUAAUAAAUAGUAAAAGACUUGUUAAAUAUUUUGAUAAACACUCAUUAUACUCUUGUUCCCCAAUUGUAGAUACCGCUAUUAUUUUCAGGUUUUUAUUUUAGGAAUGUGAGAUCCACACACCUAUUUUUACUUCUCUCACACCCUUUUAAUUUUCGACCGUUGGAUCGGAUGAAUUGAAGAAGAUCAAAAAACAUAAAUUAAUAAAGAGUACGUGAGAAGUAAAAAGGGGUGUGCUAUCUACACAUUCCUUAUUUUAUUUAAAUCCUUAUACUUGUGGACCCUUCUACAUAAAAGUCUCCUGUCUAGUGAACCUCCCACAUGCGCUUGAGCCUCUUGGGGCCGUGAGCCUGUGGCGAUUUGAAGAAGAUAACACUGACAAUUGACUUGGUCACAAGCCUUAGUACAAAGUGGGGCCACGUUUUCCUGAUAGCAGUCCCAGUGGGCCCAGUCUGUCUGCUAAAACUAGUAAUGGGCAAACAGUACCUUCAAAUACAUACACACAUGAUUAUGCUUUGUAUGAUUGAAUCUGUUUCUUUGGGUUUCAAGUUUCAAUUGAUGGAAUAGGGUUCUCUUCCUUUCUUUUUUCAUUAUCUUCCAUCUUUUUCUUUCAAAUUUUUUAUUUUGUCUUUCUCUUGCUAUAAAAAAUUAAUAUAAGAUGUUGACGUAACUUAACUGUGACCGUUCAAAUAAGAAUGGAGGAAAGAGGAAGGAAAAGAUGAGGGAGAGAGUCCUACUCCCAGAUUGAUAUACACAUUCUCUUUAGCGUAAAGUUUAAAGUGCAGCAGCUGACCUAAUAUUUUCUGUCUGAAUACGAUGGAAGACUUAUAGAUAUAAUAACCUUAAGGGAAGGGAUCCUCAUUUUUUUUAAAUAGGGAUUAGUUAUGGAGUCUACAUCACAUCGAACUUUAACGAUCCGAACCAUCUAUUUUUCAAGUUACACCUCAUAGAUCAUCCUUGCAAAAUAUUAGCCAAAUCGGAAAUAUUUAAGACAUCUAAUUGAGUUAAAAAUAAAUAAAUAAAUACUUUAUUAUAUAAGAAACAAUGAAAUUUUAUUUUGAUAAAUAAAUAAUCAAAUGGUUUUGGAUUGAAUUGAAUUUUUGCAAAAAUGAUCUAUGAAUCGAGACUUACAAAAUAGACGGUUCAGAUCGUUAAAGUUUGAUGUGGAGUUGGUCUCACACCUAAUCCUCAUCUUUUGAAAAAAAUAAGGAUCCCUUUGCAUAAAGAGUGUAUACAUAUAUAAUAUGCCAAUAUGCGGAGAAGAUAAUGUAGUGUUAUCUUAAAAGCUACAAACACCUUUGGCAUCAAUGGCCUGCAUGGGCCCUAAACUACUCCAAAUCUUCCAACGUAUUUCAGAGAUAAAUGAUCACAUGUUAUGGCCAGUGCAAAUAAAAAUAGCUCUUCAACUUCUGCACUGCUUCACUGUUAACACACACUUUGGUUGGCUUCUUUCACUUUCUUUGAUUCCUUGAAUUAUACUAGUAACCAUUGUGUUAGCAACAGUUCCUCGUGCUAAAUCGUUGAUGUUUUAUAUGAUUCACUUGCCAUAACGAUUGACAAUCAUUUAGGCGCUCAACCAUUGAUAUGUUGUUUGAUCCACAUGUCGGUUGACACUCAUUCAUGCACAUGUAAACAAUUGUUGUUAGCAGCAUAAUUAGGUGCCAUGCACUCAACUGUUGAUGCAUUGUACAUAAAACCACCUUAAUUGCAUUAAAAACUAACAGUCAUCCACAUAUGCGUGUAGGCGACUGUCAUUAGCAUUAUAAUCCGUCAUUGCUAGCUUGCUAACUUCAUCCAGAUGAAAGAAAAUUAAAUGAGUCAAAGAUCUUUGAGUUAGACCAUAUCUGGUAUAGUGAGAAUGAACCAAUGUCUAAUCAGGUUUCCAAAUUUCUUGCAAUGAGCUGGCUUGGAUUGUUUGAUUUGCUAAUCAUGAAAUUAUUUACAUUAUUAUUUGCAAUUUUAAUUCUAUGAUUGUAUGUGGUGGACCUGGUCGGUUUGACAGAUGCUAUUACUCCAUUGUUUUAUUCUGAUAAUAUCUAGAGCCCACGCCCAACCUCCCAGAAAAGGAAGAACGACAAUGAACAUUUAAGUGUGCUUGCAAUCAGACCUAUCUGGAGGCUGGAGCUGUGGACUUUUAGCCUUUUAGGGCUUCUGUUUUAGCGUUUAAUUAAAUCUACAGUUCCAAUCAUAUCAAACCCCUCAAAUUAGGGGAAUUAAGUUGACUGAGAUAUUUAUAUAUAUAAAGAAAGACCAAGUCAUCUUCUUUGAGAGCAUUAACAGGAAGCCUGCUGGAUUCAACCUUCAACCAUGUUAAUAUUACAGACCAAAGUCAAACCUCCACCACAUAGAGACCAAGUCAAAAGCUAACUAGGGUUUAGCAGUGUUUAAGCUAGGGUUGGGACGUGGCCCACGUUUGUGGCGUUGGAACCCCUUGUUUGUCCCACAUCAGCUAGGGGAAGGAAAGCAAAGCAAUUUAAAUAGAAUUACUCCAUUUUAACUAUACCGAAGUCUUCUGUGAUAAAACCCCAUAUCUAAAGAUUGUGCAUGUGGUUAAGUGGGGACAAUAUCGGUGUUGUUGAAAUGGGCCCUCAGCCCCUUGACCUGAAAAAUUCCACAUGGUAUCAGAGCAAGGUUGUCCACGUGUGAAGCCCAACGGCCAUACGCGCUCCACGUCACCCAAUACUUGAAAAAUUCCACAUGGUAUCAGAGCAAGGUUGUCCACGUGUGAAGCCCAACGACCAUACGCGCUCCACGUCACCCAAUUGUUGUCCACGUGUAGGCUUGAAAAUCCGCCACAUGUGCGGAGGCGUGGCUGCUCAUUGUCAUUCAUACACCACGAUGAUUUUGAGGUAAACAAUCAGCCAAGGUUGUCAACGUUCGGGCAAGUUGAGCAACCUGAGCAACAAGGGCAUCAAAUUCUGCCCGGUAACACGUUCACCCCUACGGACAUCGCUGCCAGGGUUCCUAUCAUAACUUCCAUCAUUAGACGUUGAGAAUAGGGCGUAUUCUUGCUUUGAUACCACUUGACAUGGUGACAAAGAAAGAUUAUUCAACGAUCUUAAAUAACAAGAAAAUUUCAAACUAACAUCUUAUUUACAAUGCCUCUUAGCCUUAUACAAAUAGGAUUAAAAUUAAACAAAUAACAAAGUACCAAAAACACCUCUAAAACUUAAAACCAUAAUAAAUAAAUAAAAUGAAUUUUGGCUAUAAAGUCCAUACAUCAUGGAAACUUGAUGAGUUUGAUGCACAUCGCUGUUCUCUUUCAAACAAUGAGUAAUGAGUCAAAAUCGAACAUUGGGGCCCAAGUCUAGAAAGCUUUAUUAUUAUUGUCCAAUUUGCACUUUUCGUGUUGAUCUUCAAUUCAUUAUGUCAUUUGAUCUACAUAAAAAAGUAGAGUUAAGAUGAUGAAAGCUAAUCUUUAGGUUUAAGUCUUUCAUGUUAGUGAUGAUGGCAAGUGGGUUAAAUCCAAUAAAAUUCUAAGUAAAAAAUUCGAUUCCAUUUUAAUGUAACAACCAAAAAAAAGAAAAAAAAAAGAAAAAGAGGUUGCUGGGGUUCAGGGUUCCACCCUUCAUAUUAAAAGUUGAACAAUAGAUGAACAGGCAUCAACUCCAUAUGAGUUUGAGGUCGCUGACGCCUUUUUUACAGCAACCAUCAUUUGGUGCCCAUCCAAGAUCGCCCUGAUAAAUUAGAUCUCGGGGGACGAGAAAAAAAAUGUUGUGAACUCCCCUAAACCCAAAAGAAUGGAGAAAAUUAAGUAAUGAGAGGGCGACUUUCGUGUGGUAGUAAUUGAGAUCCAUCCAAUUUUCAAAGGAGUCGUUCCUGUUCUAGCAGUUGAGCAGGGAUACUUCUCUCUCUCUCUCAAAACCUAGCAUAAUCCAGAAGAAAUGGUGAGACAAAAGUUCCUCACGUUGAGGGUGAGCUGGAAAGCUAGGGGAUCAUAUCUUUCAGUUCGUCACGUUACGGCGCUUGCAUGGUCUCCUAUCGCAAAAAAUUUGAUGCAAUUUUGGAAGAGUUAGCAACUUGCAUGCAAAGUCUAGUAUAUGAAUUAAUAAUAAAUUUGUAAACAGAAAUGAGAUGUGUUAGUAGCAUCAUUCUAUGUAAAAUUCAAAAUAAUAAUAAUAAUAAUAAUAAUAAUAAUAAUAAUAAUAAUGAGGGUAACUAUAUUGCUUCACAGUGCUGCAAGUUCUAAAGAGAAUCUUACUUGCAUGCAAAGUCUAGUAUAUGAAUUAAUUAUUAAUUUGUAAAGAGAAACGAGAUGAGUUAGUAGCAUUACUCUACGUAAAAUUAAAAAAAAUAUAUAAUAAAAAUUGAGGAACUCAGCCACCACCUUACGACUAGCAGCUUUAUUAAAUCUCAUUAUUUUAGAAUUUCUUUGUAAUCUUAAAACUUCAACAUCUCUCUUACCAUCCUUCGUCCUCUUUUUCUAUUUCCUCUUCUCUACAUGUAUUUCUCUUUUAUUACUAACAUAAGUAAAAGAAUAAUUCUAGUCAUGUCAAAUUGGACAAGGAUUGUCUGCCCUUCCAUUUCCCGUGCCCUCUCGUGCCUUCCUGUUUGUGUGAUCAUGGUUAAGUCACGUCAAUAUUUUAUAUUACUAUUCAUUUUUGUCUUAUUAUCUCUAUAAAAAAACAAUAUAAAAUUUUGACGUGACUUAACCGUGACCACACAAAACAGGAGAGCACGAAAAGUAAGAGGACAGACAAUCCUUGUCCUAUCAAAUUAUACCGCAUUGAUGUGACAAGUGAUUAUCAUGACCACAUCAAUUAGUGUUUUUCCAACUACCAUAUCAAUUAAUGGUUUUACUCAUCUCAUUGAAUAUUAAAGUUUCCUCAUCGAACAGAUCACAUAUCACGUGAUAUGAUAUAAAAUAUUUAAUUAGUAUAGCAUUAUUCCGAGUAAAAUUGAGAAAAAAAAAAACGAAAUGGUUAUCAAAAUAGUUUUCACAGAUAACCCAUCAUCUGGACUAGGUUACAGCCCAGUUCGGCCCACACCCGAUUAUCGUUUACAUUAUCCGCUGAAGCCACUUGGAGUCCGGUCCAUUUGCUUCUUCACUCUCGGUCUCUGAGUCUCACUAUUUUCUGGUCUCCUCUCUGCGUACCUUCGUUGACAUCCAGCUUUCACGGUUCAAACUUUAAACCCCAUUUUUUUUUCUCAAAGAAAAGUAUCUUCCUCUUUGAUGCAACCUUAAACAUUUGCUAAGCAGCACAGUUUGUGCAGCCAUUGAUUCAACCAAGCUUAUGCAAGACAAGCACAGAGAAUCUCCAUAUUCUUCUUCUUCUUGGUAAGCAAUCUGAACCUUUCUUCUAUGCCCUUCACACAAGUUUUCGUUUCUGGGUUUUCCAUUUCUUUCUAUAUAAGAAAGCUUAAUGAUUUCAUUUAUUGGUUUUUAAUGGAAAAAUAGGGUCCGGUUGUAGUGUAAAGAAGUGGGUUUGUCCCAGAUCAUGGAGAAGAAUUUUGUUCUGUUGGUUGGGAUUUUAUUGUUGCAGAUUGUAGUUCAUUGCUCUGGUGCUGAUUCGAAGGUAAGGAAUGAGAAAACUGAUUUGAAUUGGCUUUUUGUUUUAUAAAAUCCCAUAAAUUGCAAUCAUGGGAUGAAAAUUAAUCACUGGUUUUCUGCUGCUGUUUGGAUUCGGAUGUAGUUAUGAUCCUCGUUAGAUUAUUUUGGCGGAAAAGGUAACUAGAAUUUAGUUUGGUUGGCGAUGAUCAUUUGAGCUUUACACAUAACAAGUGAUGGUAUUCUCUAAUGUGUGUAUGGUUUAAAAUCAUGUACUUUGGUUCUAUGUUUUGUUCCUCGUUGACCUGAAAAGUUUCAGUCGCCAUUUCUCAUGAGCAGCGACUUAGUGGACGCAAGUUUUUUGAGUCUUCCCUCACAUCUAUACAUCGAUUUCAACUGCAAAAAUUACGGAGUGCGGCAGUCUUUCCUUCAUGGAUCUCUGUUUGUUCCUCUGUCAUGGACCCAUAGAUCAACUGAUUUAUCUUCCCUCAUGUAAUUUUCUGUGUGCAUUUUUGCCUCCAUUUGAUGAAUGUUGGAGCCAAAAAUCUGUGCAUGAAACUGGAUCUGAGCUGGUAUACUCAAGUUUCUAGAUGGAUCAUUACUCCUCAAGUUCUUGGAUGGAUGCAAUGAUUGUGGAAUUUCCUGGGAGUGUAGAAUGAUUAGUUUUCAUCCAAAGCAUGUGGUAUUAAUCAUGGCAUUAGUCAAUGGGUGCUCAGCGGGCUCCCUUGUUUUUUUAAAACGGAAAUUGCAAUUUGGACCAGUGAUUUUAUAUUUUUGGAGUUAUAAACUGGACCAAAUGAAACUCACUUUUUAUUUUUGGAAUGAUUUUAAUUGCUUUUAAGCGUGUAUUUAUUGGUUAGAGGUUUUGAAUGUAGGUAGAAUCCGGUGUGAAAACUGAUUUGGGUCGGAAAAGUUCGUUAGCAUCGACUAAUUCAAAUGGUUCCAAUGAUAACACUGUUGUGUCUAAUUUGGUUUUGAAUGCUAACGAUGUUCAAAAAUUGAAGAAAGACGGAGACCAGGUGGUUGGAUCAAAGGAGGGUGAUGCGGAUAAGAAGAGCAAUCCAAGUAAGGAAGUGGGUGUGAAAGAAUCUGAUACUGUGGCAAAGAGUGGUGGAGGAUUGAGUGAGGGAUCCAAAAUAGAGGGCGAGGACAAGAAACAGAAGCCGAGUGAUGGGUUGGAAUCAAAGGAAGUGCCUAAGGAGGUGGAUAAUGGAGGAAAUGCAAUCUCUGUGAACCCCAUGAGGAAGGAGGGGACUCGGAGUGAGGAAUGUGGUCUAUCUAAUAUGUGCACUGAUAAGGGCAACCAGCUGGUUGCGUGUUUGAGAGUUCCCGGAAAUGGUAUGUUUUACAUUUUGUAUUCAUGGCAGUUCUAUGCAUAUUUGUUGUUUAUACUAUCCAUCCUGGGUGUUUUCCUGAUUUCUUGGACUAAUGGAUUGUUCUCAUUCAAACUGAAUUAUUAGUCUGGUUAAGAAUUCGGUAUGCAAUAAAUCUUCAGAUAUUAGAGUCUGUUCUUUAUAUUUUUUUCAGAUCAUUUUUCAUUUAGCAUACUAAAAUAUGGUUUUUUUAAUUUUAUUUUUUAAAGUUAAAUUUGUUAUGUUUUUCAUUGAUCAUACUUGACUUAUUGUGGGUUAUCAUUUUUCAGAUUCUCCCCAUCUUUCACUUUUAAUUAAGAACAAGGCCAAAGGCCCUCUCUUGGUUACCAUUGUAGCUCCUGGUUUUGUGAGACUGGACAAAACAAAAAUUCAACUUGAAGAGAAAGAAAACAGAAAGGUAAGUGUAAAGACGCUAUAGAGUUGUUCAAUCACAAAAGAUAUUUUUGUUUGAUGAUUUCUUAAUUGAAGCUAAUAAAUUUAUAUUGUGAUGCAAAUACUUCAUAACGUCCUGUUUUACUUUAGACUAUAAUGUCUAAUACUGUUGUAAAAAAUUGUGCGAUUGCUUUUGCAAAAUAGUUCAAAGGGGAUCCCUAGGGCUAUAAGAGAAUCAAUUUCUUGUUUCCUUUAACAAAAUGCAACCUAAUGUUAAUAUUCAUCAUCACAUAACGCCCGGUUGGUAAUGCUUCCUUGCUUGAAGGACUUCAUAGAAUAUUCAGCUUGUCCUUGUAUUCCAAUUGGCAAAUGAGAGUUUCCUCCAGGACACUUGGUUCCUUUGAUCAUAGUGUGUCAGAAGUUCUUAAACUUUCCAGAUGCAUACUGCUACCAUGAAUUGGCUGAAUCUUUACACCUAUGUCCCACGUGGGUAGUAAGUCUAUCCAAAAAGUACCUUGUAGUAAAGAAAACCGAUGCAGUAUUGCGGAUGCACCAAUUAGGCAAUAAGAAUCCCAGUACACAAUAGAUUGGUUGAUUCUAAAGCCUAUCUCUUACAUUGAUAGCAAGAGUUUACAGGAAGCUAGAUCAAAUGCUCUUACUCAUAGUGGUGUGGUGGCCAUGGGUUCAACUAAUGGCCUUGCCAAGUUGGCUUGAACACAUACCAGUGGCAAUAUGUAACUCAUUUUCGUUUUGGCAUUGAGAAGAUCUAGGCGUGUUUUCUAGAGAUGUUAAAGCGUAAUGCUUGUCACCAUGUAAAAAGUGGAUUUUGAUCUGAUAUAAUUUGGGUUCUGCAGGUUUUGGUUUCAAUUGGAAAGGGAGGAGCUGGCGGUUCAAUUGUGCUAAAAGCAGGAAAUGGUCAAUGCAACCUUGAUUUGAAGGACCUGGUCACACACAGUUCCAGGAAGGAGCCUGAGAAUUCUUCAAACUCUGCCUACACAAACUUCCUAAAACAAAAACCUACGAUUGCAGUUGUGUUCUUUGCUUCAGUAAUGAUAUUGGCAUCAGCUUGGAUGUGCAUCAGCUUUAGGAAUAGGCGGUUCUCUGGCAAUGGGUUGAAAUAUCAGAAGCUAGAUGAGGACCUGCCAAUUUCCAAUGAGGAAAAACCGGUGUUGCAGGUUAACGAUGGAUGGGAUAAUAACUGGGACGAUAAUUGGGAUGAUGAGGAGGCACCCCACACACCCUCAAUGCCGAUUACUCCUAGUCUCUCUGGCAAAGGCCUCGCCUCACGACGAUUGAACAAGGAAGCGUGGAAAGAUUAGUCAGUUAGGUUAAGAAAGAGAUUAUAGAUGCAUGUUUCUAUUUUGUUAAUCUGUCUGUUUAUCAGUCACAGAUAAUUAUCUGAUUUUCCAUUUCCCAAGCAGAUGUAAAAACAGGAAAAAAGAUUUCCCACUUAUUUACAUGAGGCUAUUAGCCGACUUGUACACCAAGGCUUUUUGGGUGUCUUUAGUGAACUUUUGCUCCCGUUCUACUUUCUAGGGCAGAUGUGGUUUAAAGCCUGCUGGCUAGGGUACGUCUGCUUUCUUGCACCUAAGUUCGAAUUUUCUUUUCCUUGCACCUAAGUUCGAAUUUUCUUUUCCUAAAACUAAAGUAGUUUUAUAUAUUGCUUUGGCUCGUCUCUGGCCUCACUCUCACAAUCCUGAUCAUGGGACACCCCUAUCGAAGAUUUACUCGUGGAUUAUAUGCCUUCCUAACUAUUAGUGGAUUUUGGUAUCUCCUAGUCCUUGAACGCAACUUUGUUCUGUUUUUGUUUUAUCGUUUUAGUAAUUAACCUUGUUAUGAACUGCUCAUCUUAUUUUGGACUUGAAGGGGACUGCUGGGUUAAUCUAUGACCUCUUGUUCAACCUCAGACUUUGUUGGGUUGAGCAUGGCAAUUCCCUUAUGUUGUCUCAAUAGGCAGCCCAAUAAGGUGAAGAAAUAAAUAUGUUUGCUUCUCUUUUAUUUUCCUUCAUAUUUAUUUAUUAAGAACACUAAUUUUCUUUUACUUUCCAAUCAAAUUGUAGGUACAUUUUUUUUUCUUUUUACAAACGAUAUCAAAUUCUAAGUUUAUCAUUCUUACAAGUCCGUUUGGUAUUACCUUUUUUUUCACAAAAGAAAAAAUAAAACUACUUCAUUUUAAAAUUAAGCAAUAAAAAAAUAUUUGGUAAAACUAAAUAUGUUGUUUAUGUUAAAAGCAAUGACCUCUACACAAUAAUUUUUAAAAGCAGCUUGUAAAUUGUUUUUAAAAGCUAAUUUCAUAAAAAGUGAAGUUAAGCCUUUUAUGGAUAUUUUAGAUUUAUGUACUACCCUUAUCAGUUUUUAGAAAUCACAUUAUUUAUCAUUCUAAAUACAUUUCAUUCCUUGGAGACACAAAGUGAGGGUCACCACCUACCACUACAACAACUAACCUUACAUUAGCAUCGCUAUUACCAUCACCAUCGUUGUCACCAUUGCCGCUCCCACAAUUGUCAUUGUUGCUGCCAUAACCACCAUAGCCACUGGCACAACCUCUACCACUAGUAUUGCCACCACCAUCAUUGUCAUCACCGCCGCCACCACUUCCACUACAACCAUAAACGCCACCAUUGUCACCACAACAACAAUCGCGACUACUGCCGGUUGUCGCCGCCUUACCACCAUUGCUACCUAUGCACCCUAACCACAACCAUAUCCACACCAUUUUUGUUGCCAUCACCACUGUUACCCCCACUACCACUGGCAACAUUGUCGUCACCAUCACCGGCAACAUCGUCGUCACCACCACCGGAACAUUGUCGUCACCAUCAUUGUCCUUUCACCACCACGGCAACAUUGUCGUCACCACCACUGGCAACAUCGUCGUUACCAUCACUGUCAUUUCACCACCGCCAACCUCACUACCACCAUUGUUGCCAUUGUCGCCGCCACCACCACCACUACAAUCGCUACUACCAACACUGAUAUUUUUACAUCGCAACCAUUACACCCUACUACUAACACCACUAUCAUACCCCCACCAUUGAUGCUACCAUCACCACCAUUACCGUUGCCAUCGCUCUGUCGCCACCAGCCGCACUACCAUAUCCAGUUUUUAUCACUUUUUACAAUUAUAUUAGUUAUAUUAAAAUUCACCAAGUGUCGUUACACUACUUUUCAUACUCGCAACACUUUUUAAAAUACAGUUGAUCAAACUCUCAAUUGCUUAUUUUACAACUAAUUAUUGUUAAAGCACAUCAUAAACAGUUUUCUAAAAAGGUAUAGCAAACUCAAACUAGCCCUAAGCCAUUGAGAUUGGCUCAAAUAGUGUUGAUGGUUGGAAAAUGAGGUAGGAUCAGACUAGCUCAAGCAAUCAGCUUUCUUCUAUUGUAAAAGAAAACGACGACUAGUAUUGACAUAAAUGCACAUCUAAAACAAGAACCUAACAGAGGUAACUCUAAACACUAAACCCUUCAAAUCAUUCAAUUCGAAGACUGAAAAUUAAAAUGGGGGUGUCUAGAUAGCACCACCCUAGUUAAAAAUGAAUCAAUACAAUUCGAAAUACCAUAGUUCUUUUUGCUUGCAAAGGACAAAACUAUUUUAUCUUCGAAAAGAAAAUUUUGAGCUCAAGAACAAAAAAACAGUUACAUUACCUUAACCAACCGAUAAUAAACCACAUGUGCACAUUUUUUAUCCAACGAUGUCAACCCAAAUAUUGCUUGUGAAUUAGUUGAAUUCAAAUCUUCUGCACCCAUUUGUAUAUGUGACCUUUCUAUGACUCACUUGAAAUCUUGACACUUGUCUGCUAACUGAACAAAAACCUAACAGAGUUAACUCCAAAUAAAAAGAUUAUCCAAAAUAAAAACUCUAAAUAACAGAAAAAAAAUAACAAAAUAAAAAAUUAAAAAAAAAAAAAACCCAACGUACUGGGUACUCUUCAAUUAAUUAUUCUCGCUUCCCACCACCUCCUCCCCCACGGACCACUACCUCUUUCCCACUCCGACCUAGGACCCCCGAUCUAAAAAACUUCCACCAGAUCGAACCUAUCGAAUUGAACCCAAUUGAAACAAAAACAGAUCGUCCACAAAAAUCAACAAAAAAUAUAUUUGAUUGUUCAUAGUUUAUGAGCAGAAUACCCUAUAAUUCACAAUCAUAAGAAGUUUUUUUGGUCGAAUUUCGUAUGAAGAGGAAAGAAAACGAAGAGCCGUGCUUGGUAUUAAUAAUAAUAAUAUUAUUAUUUAUUUAAAAGAGCACAAAAUCAAAUUAAAGAGUUAACGUCUUUAAGUAAAGUUAAGUGAUUAUUCAUGUGUCAAAAAGUUAGACAAGUCAUUAAAAAAAGUUAUACACAAAACAAGUGCAUAAGACUAACUCGAAUUAGUUAACUCCUUGUAUGAUUCUUGGGACAAGAGUAGUUGAUAGAGAUUUAAUCAAAACUAUAUCCUUUGCAUGUGUCUCAUGGGAAAAUGUAAUGCCCGCUUUUGUCCUCUACUCCUAAAUUAAAAAUUUUAAAUUAGUAAAAAAAUACUCAUGUUAUACAUUUUUUCACAUCAUGUUUUGAUUAUUUUUUUUAAUAAAAGUUUAAGAAGGGGAGGGUACCGCAUCUAGAAUAAGGGCAUAUGACAAUCUUCUUUAGCGAAACUCCAACCUGAGUUUUACGUCUAAUAAAGAGAACGAUUUUUAUCAAUUUAACAUUUAUUUUUUGUUAUACAAGACAAAAUAUGUUACUUAGUAUUACAAUUUAAUAGUAUUCCUCUUCAUUUGUAAGUAAAAAAUUUUAAGUUCGAUUUUUAGCAAAGACAAAUUUGAACCGCAUUAUUGCUAACUUGUUGUAAGGCUUGGUCCAAAAAUAUUGUAAAAAAAAAAAAAAAAAAAAAGGCAAAAAAUACGUAGUCCCUGGAAUCACGCUCCCCUCCUGUCUUCUAUUCCUCUUAAUUGUCGUAUCUCACAACCUCUACUUCUACGAUGUCGUAUUCAACAACGGUAUUUAGGGGCAUGUGAGGCCUAGCGUCAUCGUCACCACGUGUCACAUUAUCACUGGACCACCUUGACGGAGCACGUGCAGUGGCUUCGCUUCUCGUUAGGUUGCGACUCCCACAGCACGUGGGGGGCCCUACGGGAACUUGUCAGAGGGCACGAGCCCUCACAUGACAAAGAGACACGUUUCAAACUUUCCGGAGUUAGCGGCCGGAGAAUCAACGUUGGAUGUGACCGUGGGAGGUAAUUGACGGCUGCGAUAUGCGAACAAAUGACAGUGUUAUUGUAUUCUCGUCUUUACCUUGUCUACUAGUAGGGUUUUAGAGGUAAUUGGUGGUCGAGUAUUUUAUUUCACGGUUGGAGUCCGCCGACGACCUAUUUGAGUUUUGACUGCACAGUAUUUGCAGCUUUUUUCAUGCCUGAUAAUAUAUUUCAUGAUUUUGGUUUUUUUUUUCAAGAUUUUUUAUUUUUUAUUUUAUUUUUGUGACAUUGUUUAAUUCUAAAUAAGCAAAUUUGCAAGCCAAAUGAGUAAUGCUACACUUAUUUUCUAUUUGUACUAUCAUUUAUAUCAUCUUUUUAAUAAAAAUAGGACCCCCAACACAUGUCAAUCUCAUCUUUAUUAGAAAAAUGAUACAACUAUGUGGUAAAAAUAACAUUUUUUAACCAAAUUAGUAAAUAAACACGUUAAUUAACACUUAAGUAAUAUCCAAUCGUCACUUAGUAGUUAGUACUACUGUUUAGGGGUAUUCUUCUUCACUUGUAAAUGAAAAAUCUUAGGUUUGAUUAUCGCUAAAGGCGAAGUUGAACCACAUUAUUAUGGUAAGCCCAUUGUACUUAGCUCAUUCUCCCACCCCCUUAGUAUAGAUAUUAUCGCUGGUUCAAAAAAAAAAAAAAAAAUUCCAAUCUCAACAUCCACAUCAUUUGAUUUAUAAAAUUUAACUUAAAAUUUUAAUCUCUCUAGCAUUACCCGUACCCAAAAUAGUAUUCUAACAAUUCGGUCCAGUUCAACCAAAAAAAAAAAAAAAAAAAAAAAAUAUAUAUAUAUAUAUAUAAAUUAACCCAAAAUCAAAAUAGAAUUUUUUUUUUAAUUAUACUUUGCACUCCCCAUUAAAUUAUAACUCUUUGUAAUUUUCAAUCAGAUACUUGGCGGCAGUUGGAGAAGAAAAUACAUUACUUAUUACAUGCAAAGACGUAAAAAGGCAAGUUGCCGAUACAAAGUUACAGAAAAUAUGGGGGAUAUUGGGCCCAUGAAAUCCACUGCAGUUUAGUGGGGACGUAGGCGUUCGGAUUCGAAUGUCGGCUUUUGAUGUUCACUUAACAAAAAAAACAAGAAAACAAGUAGGAAAAUGUAUUUUAUAGUAACAAAGUGGAACCUCUAUUAGGUAAAAUCUGAAUCCCAGUGGCCUUAUAGCACUUUCAUUUACUAAUAAGAGAGCCCAUGUUUAAAUUUAGAGUGGUAUGUGCACUAUUUUGGUUGUUAUUUUGUUCAUCGAUGAGAUGAAGCGGAUUUGAAUUUGAGAUUUAUUUUCAACAUUAAGAAGAGAAAUAUCAUUUUGAGUAAGUACAAUUUUCUACAAGAGUGCAAUACUAGCUAGUGUUAUCGUCACAAUAGCAUGUGCAGUCCUAUUUGUUGUUCAUGCUUUCUUCCCUUUAGAACUAUGAUAUAUGAUGUUCUAACUUCUAUAUACCUCAGUGAUGGAAAACAAUCAUGCAUAGGCAUCCUAGUAGCAUUUAACUCGAUAUCGCUCUAGUUAAAAAAAAAUGUUAGGUGAUAUUAUUAUGAUAUGUUAACAGGGGUAUAAUUUUUAUUACAAAUGAUAUUUUAUGUUAAUCUAUACCAAAGACGCUACUGGGUUGAAGAACGAAACACUAACUACUAGAGCAAUCCACCACUGUGGCAAGGGCGGCUCUGAGAUUUCAGGGACUUGUGCGAAAAUUAAAACGGGGCUCUUUCAUGUACAAGUGUUUUUAAUUGGUGUAUAUUAUGAGAAUGAAACUUAGUAUGAAAGUUAGCUUUGUAACACAAUAUUGUCUAUUAAACAGUAGAUAUAGAAGAAUUUAAACGAAGGUAUAUGUCUAAGAAAUGAAGUUUUAAUCAAGAAAACAGAAAGUAUAUAAAAAAAUAACAGUUAAUAUUUUUCAAAACAGAAAAAUAACUUGAAUAUUUUUCAAAUUUAUACUUAAUUCAGUUAUGCACAUAUAAUAUAUAUAUUUUUAUUUUGAAAUAUAUACAACUGAAUUUUUUUAUAAAUAUAUAUAAUUAAAAGUUGGGGGCCCUUGGAGAUGGGGCCCUGUCCCUCCUAAUUUCUCUCUCAUUCUCUCCCAUUCUUUCUAAACGGUUAUGAUUAAGUCUCGUCAGCAUCUUAUAUUGAUUCUUUUAUAGAAAGAUAGAGACAAAAAUGAAAGUGUGAGAGGAGGGUAGGGAAGGGGUGGAGAUUAGGAGGGGAGAGAAUCCUACCCUUUGGCACUCGGAGGAGGAUUCUCUCCCCUCCUAGUCUCUCUCCCUUUCCCUUCCCUCCUAUUAAACAGAUACGAUUAAAUCACGUCAACAUCUUGUAUUGAUUUUUUUAUAAAGACAAAAUGACAAAGAGUAAAGUGUGAGAAGAGAGAAAGAGAGGGAAGGGGACUAGGAGGAGAGAAGUGGAUAUCACUUGGCACUCCCCCAAAGCCACCACUGCCACAACUUGCAUGUUAAGGGAUAUGAUUAUGAUUUGAAAGAGGUCGAUAUCAUCAUCAUAUAUUCAUAUAUAACUCUUACAUUAUCUAGCAUUAGUUUUGACAAGGUGAAAAGGACAUGCAUGUGAGAAUAAGAUCGAGUAUGAACGGCUGGAAGCCUGGAAGCAGAAAGUCCUUUUUCUUAUUCCUUACUCUAUUGGCUGGCUCACGGGACUACUUGGUCAGUGGAACCACUCUAUUUGAUUACUAGUUAUUCAUUAAGCCCGUCUUUUAUGCAUACUAGAAUUGUUUAGCCCAGGAGGGUGAAAAGGACGUGCAUGUGAGAAUAAGAUCGAGUAUGAACGGCUGGAAGUCUGGAACCAUAUCAGUUUAUCCUCGCAGAAAAGGGUAGUGAUGACAUUGGAUUGCAUUAAUUUGGUUUUUCUUAUUGUCGUGGGGUUGAAAACAUAUAGAAAUGGUUAAAGUACGUUCAGACUUUUGUUUUUUAAAUAUAUCAAUGAGACUUAAGACUCGAAAACACAUUACAUAAUUUGACUCGAUAACAAUUUUACGUAGUACUAGCACAAGAUGGCGGUCAUUAAAAACCAUUUUGCCCCCCGACCCCAAGUUAGUGUCAAUGACUCUUAUUAGGGGUUGACAGCACAAUAGCGACAUCUUAGAUAUAGAGUCAUCUUUGUUUUUGAAUAAACGAUAAUAUCUACACUAAAAUGGUGGGAGAGUAAGCUUAACCAUACAAUAAUGUGAUUCAAUUUCACCCUUGACGAGAAUCAAGUUAGUUAACUAAUUAAGAAAUGUCGUGUGGUAACAAAUGGUGCUUUAGUGUUUAAUUAACCAAUGUUUUUAAUCACUUGAUCUGCUAGUAAAGUAUAUUUCUCAUUUAAUAUACGAUUUUUAGUAGAUGAACGAUAACAUACUCUGUUUAUAGAUUACCGUGAAUAAGUAAAUACUUCAUCAUCAGAAGAGAUUUAGAAGCUUAAUUAUCCAUAUGGGAUGACAUUUGGAUGGAGGACAUUCACUAAAUAUUAAUUAGAAUACAUCACGACAUAAAGGUAGAGUAGAUCAAUCAAUAGAAUUUGAAAAGCAACCAAAUAAUCAAUCAUAUUUAGUUAGAUAAAGCAGACAUGCAUGCAUUAUGCCAUCAAGAGCGCCAAUGAUUUACAAAGAAAGUAUAUAUUGGAGGCCUCAUCGGCCCCCAAAAUAAUGGUUUUCAAAACUGGUCCAGAUUAUUUGAAAUACAAAUCAUGUAAAAGUCCUAUCAAACUCAUCUGUCAAGUAUUGUGGGGGUAGAGGGACAGGUCAAAAACCCUAGCUCCGUGAUUAGCUCGCUGCUCGCAAUAACCUUCACUCGCUAUGGCAGACAAGAAUACGCCUAGAUUUGCGCCGCUUAGUGCAUGUGCUCCUAUACAACUAUCAUACAAUAAUUUAAUUAAUCAUACUUCUUUUAGUUUAAUUUGUCUACCCCUAAUUGAGCAUAUUUGGUCGUUUUCUUUGGUCAACAGCAUAGUGGUUUCAAUUUCAAUUGGAGAAGUAGGCGGCUCUCGUUAUAAAAGGAAUAGUACUUGGCUAUUCAAAAGAUAAGAUAAGUAGGAGCUAUUACUUAAAACUCUUUGUUUCUGAUUUGUAAAAUUUUGUGUUUAUGUUUAUAUUAUAAAUCACGCUAUAAAGAUUGUCCAUGCAAACAAAAUAUACAAUUAGAACUAAGAUCGUUUACAUCGAAUAAAAAAAUGCCACGUGUUUCUUGUUUUUUAAUGCCCAUGAAAAUUAAUAGCAUGUCCUUUUUUUUUUUAAACAAACGAUAAUAUCUAAACUAAGGGGUGGGGGAGUAGGCUAAGCCUUACAUUGGGUUAACCAUAAUAAUGUGGUUCAAGUUCACCUUUGACGAGAAUCAAACCUAAGACUUUUCAUUUACAAGUGAAUAAGAAUAACACUAAACCAUAGUACUAAGUGGCAGCAUGUCCAUUAUUUUUUUAAACACUAAAACAUGUGUUAAAAUAUCAUUGGACAAAAUCAAAAGGUGACUGCUCACUAGUGGGUACCCAAGUAUUAUCUAUACGGUAUACUAUUAAUUGAGGUUUUAUUUAUUUAUUAUUUUUCGAAAAUUAGUUUCCGGUCCCUAGUUUUUAAUGUACAUUGACUAAGACCUUAUCAAUUUUAGAUUUUGAUCAAAGUCCCUAGCAUUAAUAUAUUAAUUGACACACCCCGAUCGAGGUCAAAGCAUGCUGGCCGUCACGUGAGAGUGACGUAGCCAUGUGUACAGUGCGGAAGCAAUAAAGAAAUCAAACAUAAGAAUAAUUAAAAAAAAACACAUUUCUAGAGUGCACUACUAAUAGGAAGUGAUAGGAGUUAGUUACAACUGUAAACACUCCUAAUCAGAGCAUAAUAAGUCUAGCUGUAGUCCAGUAGGACAAGUACUAGUUACACAGUACCAGGAAUGUCCUACUAUUAAUCAAAUAGGUCAGAACAACCAACAAUCCCGAGCCACCAACAUCAAACUUACUUAGAACCUGGAGGGGCGCAAAACAGAAAACGUGAGUGGGUAAAAACAAAUGUUUUACAAAAUCAUUUUAUUUAUCAAUAUACUAGCCACUCGCUGUAAAACAUGUAUAAUUUUUCCCAGAAUCAGAAUAUAAGCAUAUACAUAAUUAGAUAUGAAAUAUAUCAACUCAAUUCAUGCUUCACAUAAUCAUAUUCAUAUGUAUGCCAUGCCAAAAUAUAACAAAGUAAACUAUCCAGGUAAGAAUGAUUUCAUAGAAAUAUGAUAUGUUAGCCGGAACUCCUGAGGUGGUCUGUACGGUUGAAUUCAUAGCUCAAAAGUCAAUCUAGCCGGAGUCAUUACAAUGACCUAUACGGCAAUAUACUGCACAUAAGUCGGAACCCCUAAAAAGGUCUGUACGAUAAGAUUGGGUGAAAUAUAAUUAUGCUCAACUCUAUUCUCUCAUAAUAGCCGGGCGAUAAAUCGCUAGUCACCUACGAGUCGGAACCAUGAAUAAGGUCUGUACGAUAAGACUGUGCACUUAAGUUGGAUCCAAUAUGAGCAUAUAGUGCAGGAGGUGACGUAAAUAAACAGGCCUGUACCUCAUAUCUCUGGCUAAAUCACAAUCACCCUAAGUGCGGUUUUAUGAGCUCAACAUUAUUCAAUCACAUAUCACAUCAUCGAUGAUUCACAUAACCAAACAUAACUUACCUACACUUACCUGUGCCUCCACAACACCACAUUUAUAUAUAUAUAUAUAUAUAUAUAUAUAUAUAUAUAUAUAUAUAUAUAUAUAUAUAUAUAUAUAUACAUGCAACGAUGAAAUGCAUAUUCAGAAUAUAAAAGUAAUUGGCAUAUUAUUUCAAAGCAUACUUUACUAACAAUGCAUUUCUGGGAAAUAUAUCAAGUAUAUAGAUAUAUACUGAAAACAAAAGCCCAUUCAUUGGUAUGUCGAAGGGUCGUAACCCCCGAGUCGCCCGUGGAUACGCUCGUCCUCGGGAUAGGCCUCACCUAUAUUCGAAUUAACUAUAAAAACGUUAUUUUAAAGCACAUAUACAAAACUAGCUAAUAACUUCUUAUACAUUGCUCAAUUUGGGUAUAUGAAUAUACCACAGUGAUUUACACAACCUCACGAACAUUGUGAUAUUUUUAGAAAUUUUUUUCUAUGGCUCACGCGCCCUCACGCGCUGAGGAGGGCACGGCCUCACGUGCGGCCCACGCGCAUCGUCUUCAACCUACAGACGCCGGAACUGUGUCAUCGGCGUCGGAUUCUGGCAGACCUACAACUGCCCAUUUCUCACCCGUUUUUUGCACCCUUUUUAUUGUAGAACACAAUCAUACUAAUUUAAAGUUUCUAAAAGUCACGGAUUAAAUUGUGGAACACCAAAAUGACAAACGACCAAAACUUCGUCCAAUCACCUGACACUGAACGUCCAAACGAAUUUUCGACUCACUCCAAACCUUCGCCCACAAGCUUUCUCAAACUAAAAUUCCAAAAACCCAAAAAACUUUUGAAAACAGUCCUUCACUAAACGGGGUUACUACAAGAACUACAAAGCUUCCUUAAGUUUAAAUCUCAAUUAAACAUAAAUCACGUGUUUUCAAAACAGUGAAACGACCAGUCGGUUACGAAGGGAAACUUCCGAAGAAAAAGCACAAUUGGGGAAAAAGUUUUACUGAGCUUCAUUCAAAACCUAAGGGUACCAUGAAAUCAACGGUUUGAAGUUCUUAAGGUGGCCUUCCUAUGAAACACUAUGUACCAUUUUCUUCCUCAGAUCCAUUUGAUUCCGGAGAGUGUUUGAGGUCCUUGUACAAGAAAAAGAGAGAGAAAGUCCGAGAGAUAAAGAGAGAACACGGGAGGGAAGAGAGAGAUAAAGUAAUGUGGAUAUGUGUGUGUGGUCCAAUCUACACACCAAUCACAACUAACCAUGGUUUAGUUCUCAUUGGCCCCAAAAACUUAGGAAAAUAAUUAUAUUGGUCCACUUCUAAAACCAUGUCGCAUACGACUCAUCUCAACGCCCAAAGGCAUUCUAGUCUUUUCACAUCUUUGAUAAAAGUAUUUCGGAACGGGCUGUGACAAUCUCCCCACCUUAUAAAAUUUUGUCCUCGAAAUUAUACAUAACAAAUACCUCCACUAAUAAUCAUAAAACAAGCGUGGAUACAUCUCUUUCAUCCAAUCCUCUGUCUCCCAAGUAGCUUCUUCCACUAAAUGAUUUCUCCAUAAAACGUUCAGCAAGCGUAUGGUUUUGUUCCUUAGUUCCUUAUCCUUCCAAUCCAACAGAGUCAUUGGCUCCUCAUCAUAAGUCAAGUCCGAAUUGAUUUCCAAGGGUUGAUGGGGAAUCACAUGUGAAGGAUCUGAAACAUAAUGUCGAAGCAUUGAAACAUGAAAUACAUUGUGUACCUUGGACAACUCUGGAGGUAACUUAAGCCUAUAAGCAACCUUACCGACUCGCUCGGUGAUCAAAUAUGGUUCAAUGUACCUAGGACUCAACUUUCCUUUCUUUCCAAAUCGUACAACACCUUUCCAAGGUGAUAACUUCAGAAAUACCCAAUCACCUACAUCGUACUUCCGAUCAGUGGCAUGCUUGUCUGCAAAGCUCUUUUGUCGAUCUUGGGCCGCUUUCAGGUUAUACUUAAUUACUUGAACAUUUUGAGUAGUCACAUCCACAAUCUCAGGGCCCACUAAAAUUCUUUCCCCAACCUCUGACGAACAUAGAGGCGUACGACAAGAUUUCCCAUAAAUGCCUCAAAUGGUGUCAUACCAAUGAUAACUGUUGUUGUAAGCGAACUCCAUCAAAUCCAAACAAUCAUGCCAACUAUCUCCAAAUUGUAGCACAGAAGAUCUCAACAUAUCCUCUAAUGUCUGAAUGGUCAUCUCAGAUUGUCCAUCUAUCUAAGGAUGAUAUGCCGUACUAUAAAGCAAUCUUGUACCAAGAGCUUCCUGGAAUGCUAUCCAGAACUUGGAAGUAAAUCUGGGAUCCCAAUCUGAGAUAAUAUUAACUGGCACACCAUGAUACUUCACAAUUUGUGUUAUAAAUAACUUAUCUAAUCGGCUUAACGAAUACUUCUCCCUCACUGGAAUAAAAUGCGCUGACUUUGUAAGCCGAUCAACUACCACCCAAAUGCCGUCAUAACCAUUCUGUGUACGAGGAGGCUUGUACACAAAAUCCAUAGUUAUAUUUUCCCAUUUCCACUGUGGAACGAGAAGUAGCUGCAUCAACCCAAACGGCUUCUUUCUUUCAGCUUUAACCUGUUGGCAAAUGGCACACUUACUCACAUAUUCGGCAAUUUUUCUUUUCAUACCUGGCCAAUAAUAAAAUGGUCUAAUGGUAUGAUACAUCUUAGUACUUCCUGGAUGCAUCGCAUAUGUCGAAAUAUGUGCUUCAUCCAAAAUUUCUUUCUUUAAUUCUGCAUUAUUCGGCACAUACGUCAUACUUUCUUGCAUAUGCAUGCCAUCAGUUUCUCGAAUCUUUAAAUCUUUCUUUUUGCCUUGGUUUCUUGCUUGAAUUAUUUCCUGAGUCUCCUCAUCAAUCAUCUGAGCCUCAAGCACACGAUCAAUUAAAACUGGCCUAACCUAGAAAUUAGCAAGCAAGGCUUCUCCUCGAUCUUCCACUCCUAGCUCCACUCCAGUGGACCUCAAAUCUGCUAGAAGAGGUACAUGACAAUCAUAAAUGGCAUUAAGUCUGGCUGAAGUCUUUCUACUCAGUGUAUCCGCCACUGCAUUUGCACGACCAUGAUGAUACUCAAUCGUGCAAUCAUAGUCACUAAGCAACUCAAUCCACCUCCACUGCCAAAGAUUAAGGUCUAUCUGAGUAAACAGAUACUGGAGACUCUUAUGAUCUGUGAAGAUCUUACAUUUCUCACCAUAAAGAUAAUGUCUCUAAAUCUUCAAAGCAAAGAUGAUAGCUGCUAAUUCCAAAUCAUGUGUAGGGUAAUUCUUCUCAUGAGGUUUCAACUGUCUCGAAGCAUAAGCAAUUACUCUACCAUGUUGCAUCAAUACGCAACCCAAACCAUUUAAAGAAGCAUCACUAUAAACCUCAUAAUUACCGCUAUCAUUAAGAAGUGCUAGAACAGGUGCAUGAGUGAGGUAGUGCUUCAGCUGUUGGAAACUUUGCUCACAUUUAUUAUCCCACUCAAACUUAACAUCCUUUCGAGUUAACCUCAUCAAUGGCAGAGCAGUCACUGAAAAAUCCUUUACGAACCAUCUAUAGUAGCCUGCUAGGCCAAGAAAACUCCGUACCUCGUUGACAGUUCGAGGUUGCUCCCAAUUCUCCACAGCUGCUACUUUAUGAGAAUCCACUUGAAUGCCUUGAGUAGAAAUGACAUGUCCCAAAAUGCCACUUGAUUUAACCAGAAUUCACAUUUGCUAAACUUAGCAUAUAGUUGGUGUUCCCUCAAACUGCUCAACACCAACUUCAGAUGUCUAGCAUGCUUAGCCUUAUACUUAGAGUAUACCAGAAUAUCGUCAAUGAAGACAAUAACAAACCUGUCCAAAUAUGGCUGGAAUACUCGAUUCAUUAAAUCCAUAAAAGCUGAUGGUGCAUUAGUUAACCUGAAUGACAUCACUCGAAACUCAUAAUGACCAUAUCAAGUCCUGAAUGCGGUUUUAGGGACAUCUUCAUUCUUAAUCUUCAACUGAUAGUAUCCUGACCUCAAGUCAAUCUUAGAAAAUACACAGGCACCUCUGAGUUGAUCAAAUAAAUCAUCUAUACGAGGCAAUGGAUAAUGGUUCUUAAUGGUUACCCGAUUCAAUUGCCUGUAAUCAAUGCACAGCCUCAAAGUUCCAUCUUUCUUCCUCACAAAUAAGACUGGGGCUCCCCAAGGUGAAGUACUCAGUUGAAUAAAACCUUUAUCCACUAACUCUUGUAACUGCACUUUUAAUUCCCUUAACUCAGCAGGAGUCAUUCUAUAAGGAGUUAAGGAUAUGGGAUUCGUACUUGGAAGUAGAUCAAUAACAAACUCCACCUCUCUAUCUGGCGGCAAUCCAGGAAAAUCCUCAGGGAAAACAUCCGAAAAAUAUCUGACCACACGACCAUCCUCCACACUACUAGGGGCAUCAUUAUUCAACACCACAUGCGCCAAAUAUCCCUGACAACCUAUCGACAACAAUCUCUUUGCUUUCAUGGCUGAAAUAAUACCAUGCCUCACCCCACUAGGCUCUCCUACAAAUGUAACUUCAGGUAAUCCAGGAUAAUGAAAUGUGACCGUCUUCCCAUAACAAUCUAUCUUGGCACGAUUAUAGUGCAACCAAUCAGUGCCCAAAAUCACAUCAAAAUCCAUAAUAUCCAACGACAUAAGAUUACCUAGCAUAAUAAUACCCUCUACUAUCACUGGACAUCCUGGAUAUACCCGAUCCACAAAAUAGCUAUCCCCUUUAGGCAUAGAAAAUUCUAAAUUAUAUCCUAGAGGUGUAGGAUGAGGUUGUGUCACUUGAGCAAAUGUAUGAGAAAUAACAGAAUGUGUAGCAUCACAAUCAAUCAACACUCUAGCAAAAUGACCAAGAAUAUUUAACGUACCCAUGAUUAAAUCUGGAUUAUUCUGGGCAUCUUGCAGUGACAUGUUAUAGAUAUGCCCCUGAUUUUGCUGUCGUCCACCGUGACCUCUGUUGGCAUGAAUACUACGUCCCUGUCUCUGCUGACCUGUCUGCCUCGAAGUUCCUGAACUACUAGCAGCAAUCUCUUCCUGCUGGGGCUGUCCCCCAUGGUACCACUUAGAUUCACCGGCUGAAUGUGGCUGAUAAGACAUAGAUCAUUCUUGAUACUGAGGAUACCCGCUCUGAUACUAAGGAUCCUGAAAAAUAUUGCUGCUGUCCUGAGGUGUAGGGAACGGGGUCGCCCUGAUAGUGGUAGGUACCUCUUCGUCUAGUCUGAGUAUAACCACCAGAUCCUGAAGCGUGCCGGGUAGGUGCAGGUGGUAGGAAUGAAGGUUGCUAAGGUCUCUGCUGACUCUGAGGGCAUUGAGCAGCCCUAUGACCCAUCUGUCCACAAGUAAAACAUCCAUUAUUGCCUCUCCAACACUCCCCAAAAUGCCGAUUAUUACAUCUGAGGCAUAAGGGAGCACCAUAUCCACCUAAACCACCAAAAUCUCUCUGUCUCUGAAACCUUGGACCUCCAGUGAAUCUACCACCUAUCCUCUGCAUAUUAGUACUAAAUCCUCCGCUAGAAGAGCUGGAACUACCACCACUUCUCUUAAAGUUCUGUGUCUUGCGGGGUCCCUGAAAUGCUUGCCCUUUUCCUUUGUCAUCUCGUUUCUGGCCCCCAUUCUUUCCUUCCCCAUCUUCACUUUCACUAGGUAUGUUCUCUUAGGCCUCAAUCCUCAGUAGAAUCUUAGAGAACUUCUGGUAGGAGGCACAGUGAGUCGAUGUCGUUAUGGAAUGCCAUUUCUUCUUAGCACCCAAACUGAAACGGCGAAGCAUCUUUACCAGAUUAGCAACAACCUCUGGAUCAUAUCUCGACAGAUCAGUAAACAUACUGUAAUACUCAUUAGCAGACAUCUUUCCUUGCCUCAGAUGAGUAAACUCUUGUUUCUUAAGAUCAAUAUAUGCAGAAGGAAUGAACCUUUUCUAAAACCGCUCCUUAAACACUCCCCAGUCCACAAUCUCUUAUGGGGUCAUCUCGUAAGACUCCUAUCUCCACCAGGAUGUAGGCUGUUCUCCCAAAAACCAGGUAGUCGUCUCGACCCACCUAUCAGGAGGAAGAUUCCCCUGACUCUGCAUCACCUGAAAGGUCUUCUCCACAUGAUUCAACCAUUUUUCCGCCCCUUCAUGACCUUUAUUACUCAUGAAUUGAGUCAACUUCAGAUUAUGGACUAUCUUUAGAGGUGUCAUCUGGGAAGUAUGGAAUGCUGUCUGAAUGACAAAAACUAUAGCUUCCACUAAUUGAGCAAUAUCAGGGAAACUAGAUUCAGCUGGUUGACGGGGCUUUCUACGAGGCGGCAUAGUUCUGACAUAAAACAUCACAAGGAUUAGAACAUUUAAGAAUUAUACAGGACUGUUAAACGUAGGCUCUGAUACCAAACUGACACACCUCGACCGAGGUCAAGGUAUGCUGGCUGUCACGUGAGAGUGACGUAGCCAUGUGCACAGUGCGAAAGCGAUAAAGAUAGCAAACAUAUGAAUAAUUAAAAAAAACCACAUUUCUAGAGUGGACUACUAACAGGAAGUGAUAGGAGUUAGUUACAAUCGUAAACACUCCCAAUAAGAGCAUAAUAAGUCUAGGUGCAGUCUAGUAGGACAAGUACUAGUUACACAGUACCAGGAAUGUCCUACUAUUAAUCAAAUAGGUCAGAACAGCUGACAAUCCCAAGCCACCAACAUCAAGCUUACUUAGAACCUGGAGGGGCACAAAACAGAAAACGUGAGUGGGCAAAAACAAAUGUUUUACAAAAUCAUUUCAUUUAUCAAUAUACUAGCCCCUUGCUGUAAAACAUGUAUAAUUUUUCCCAGAAUCAGAAUAUAAGCAUAUACAUAAUUAGAUAUGAAAUAUAUCAACUCAAUUCAUGCUUCACAUAAUCAUAUUCAUAUGUAUGCCAUGCCAAAAUAUAACAAAGUAAACAAUCCAGGUAAGAAUGAUUUCAUAGAAAUAUGAUAUGUUAGCCGGAACCUCUGAGGUGGUCUGUACGGCUGAAUUCAUAGCUCAAAAGUCAAUCUAGCUGGACUCACUACAAUGACCUAUAUGGCAAUAUACUGCACAUAAGUCGAAACCCCUAAAAAGGUCUGUACGACAAGAUUGGGUGAAAUAUAAUUAUGCUCAACUCUAUUCUCUCAUAAUAGCCGGGCGAUAAAUCGCUAGUCACCUACGAGUCGGAACCAUGAAUAAGGUAUGUACGACAAGACCGUGCACUUAAGUUGGAUCCAAUAUGAGCAUAUAGUGUGUGAGAGGUGACGUAAAUAAACAGGCCUGUACCUCAUAUCUCUGGCUAAAUCACAAUCACCCUAGGUGCGGUUUUAUGAGCUCAACAUUAUUCAAUCACAUAUCACAUCAUCGAUGAUUCACAUAACCAAACAUAACUUACCUACACUUACCUGUGUCUCCACACCACCACAUUUAUAUAUAUAAUAUAUAUAUAUAUAUAUAUAUAUAUAUAUAUAUGCAACCAUGAAAUGCAUAUUGAGAAUAUAAAAGCAAUUGGCAUAUUAUUUCAAAGCAUACUUUACUAACAAUGCAUUUUUCUGGGAAAUAUAUCAAGUAUAUAGAUAUAUACUGAAAACAAAAGCUCACUCAUUGGUAUGUCAAAGGGUCAUAACCCCUGAGUCGCCCGGUGAUACGCUCAUCCUUUGGAUAAGCCUCACCUAUAUACGAAUUAACUAUAAAAACGUUAUUUUAAAGCACAUAUACAAAAGUAGCUAAUAACUUCUCAUACAUUGCUCAAUUUGGGUAUAUGAAUGUACCACAUUGAUCUACACAACCUCACGAACAUUGUGAUAUUUUUAGAAAAAGUUUUCUAUAGCUCACGCGCCAGGGAGGAGACGGCCUCACGCGCGGCCCACGCGCAUCGUCUUUAACCUACAGACGCCGGAACUGUGUCACCGGCGCCGAAUUCUGGACAGACCUGCAGCUGCCCAUUUCUCACUCGUUUUUGCACCAUUUUUCACAUAUUUUAUACCAAAAUGAAGCUCUUAACUUGUAGAACACAAUCAUACUAAUUUAAAGUUCUAAAAGUCACAGAAUCUCAUCGGAGAAUUCCAAGAAAACCGGCCAAACUUCGUCCACACGAUCCCGACAUCCAAAACCUUCAAACGAAGCACAUAAUUUUUAUAAAAAAAAAUUACUAAUUGAUUUAGAGUUUUAAUACUCACACCCUUAUUAAACUCCUAAUUAAUUUUCAAUUCAAACAUUUCCCAAAUAUAAAAAUAAAAUUAGAAUAAGUUUGUACACAUUAAAUUUUUAUAAAAAAAUUUCAAUUUUUUUAAUCUUAUAUGUAUCCAUUCUUAAUAUGCCAAUUUGUUAAAAUGUACCCCAUUUUAAUUUAAAAAGUACCCAUUUUUAUAUAAAAUUUCAUUCAAUCUUUUCUCUAAUUCAUUUUUUAAACUUAUAUGGGUACAUUCUAUUUUGUUGAUUUGAGAAUGUUUCCAUGUCAAGUUUAAUAAAAUAAAUUUAAUAAUAUUAUUAAGCCUAAUAUCUUUUUUUUUUUUUGUGCUUUUGAAAAAUGUACCCAUGCUUUGGUACACUAAUGUUUUGGUUAGUUUUGAUGAACGUACCCAUGUAUAUAUAUAUGUAUAUAUAUAUAUAUAUGUAUAUACACACACACAAUAUAUAUUAGAAAGUAUAAUUCAUCUUUAAUAUUUUUAAUCCCAUAAAUUAUGGGUUUUAUUUAAAAUCUCAUUAAUAUAAAUAACUACAAACUUUAUUUUUAAUUUGAAAAUAUAUUAACCUACAUAGAAAUACAUUAUUACAUUAAUAUUAGGGAAUUCGAUCAAAAAUUAAAAACCACCAAGGUUUAAUUAAAGAACAUUGGUAGUUAAGGACCGCAUUCAAAGUGUAAUUUUAUUUUUUUAUCAAUUGGUCAGUUGUGACUACGCAAAUACUACCCGACUGCGCUAGGGUUUAUAGGAACUGAAUAUUUUGUAGCCACCCCUUGAGUUCCCGAACUGCGAAGGGAUAAGGGUCGCCCAACGCCAUUAAUGCUUUUCAUCUUCUAACCUUCUCAGCGUUUGGAAUAUGCUGCAUGCACAUACAUUUAUCAUAUAUAAUCUACAUCGGACCAUGUGUCCCAAACAAGGGCAAUGACUCCAAUUCCCCACGUGUGAUGAGGGACCAAAUUCACACUCUUCUCUCAAAUAUCUUUUAUUUGAUUUUCUUUAUUUUUGCAGUUGGGUCUCAAAACUCAAAAGCGUGCAAAAUUGUUAUGAUACAAAAUUACAAAUGAAGGCCAAGCCCUAUAUAUGCAUGCACUUUUUUCCCCUUGUUUUGAAGCUUACUAUAUGUUCCCACACAUAUAUAGCACGCGUUGAAGGGCAAAGCUUCUGCAUCCUCUUCCAUGCGGAUUAGAUGCUAGGGUUAAGGUAGGGACACACCUAGUUGAUUUUUUAUUAUCUCUACAUCCAUACUUAUAGGGUCUUUUCGACCCUUCUUGCAUCAAAAGCAAGAUAUUGGUGUAUUGCGGGUAUAAAGUGCAUUCGUAUUUGUAGUUGAAACUUCAAUUAUUUUCAUUUUGGAUUCUUGAGUAACGUUGCAUGUAUUUAUACUUAUCAUGACUGUAUCGUUGAUCGUUGUCCAAAAAAAGAGAAACAAUCGUAUCAUUUUGUAAAUGUACGGACUCAUGCUCAAUGACUUGUAUAUCUCUAAACACCGUAUUUGAGAGAGAUCAUCGUGAUGAGAUCACCAAUAUGAUUGUAAAUAUAAUAUAAGCCUUAUGAUUUAUUUUGUUCCUAGUUUUAAUUAUUAUCUUAUAUGAUUUAUUUUUCUUGUGUAACUAAUAUGCUUUUAUGUUUUAACAAGGCUUAUGAAAUAAUCUUGUUUGAGUUAAUAUUUAAACUUUGGACCUAAAAAACUAAAGGAAGGAGACUUGCCCGAGGCCCAGCACCAGGCCCAUCCAUCCAUCCAUCUUAGGACAAUAUGUCGGCUCCUCAUUAAUGCAAAGGCUAAGCACUUACAAGGGAAGUGACAACCGAUGAAAAUCAACCUAAUCUAAACCCAAAAGCACUUUCUGAAUGGCAGAACAUGUAAAAAAGAUGAUGACUCACUAGUGCUUUCGGGUUAAGCUUGCAACAGCCAAGAUAAAAUGCCUAUAAAAGGGAAGACAGGACCCCAGAGACAAGGAGAUUCAACCAAUCAAACAAACAAGCAUACAAACUCUGCUCUUAAGCUAGUUUGUACCUUCCAAACCCUUUUUAGCAAUAGUUCCCUUAGAAAGUCAUCUUUUGUCCGAUGUAAAAGCUCUGCUACCUUCUCCAGAUGCUGUAGUAUUGAUUCCCUAAUGUAAACUUGUUUACCACUUAUCCCUUUUAACAUACAAACCUUUGUAAUCACAAAGAGAAGAAACUGCAAAACGUUCACCCUUGCUCGACAAGGUGAAAUCUUGCCCGACUCUCUUUGUUUUAUCUUUCAAUUAGUAGAUCUGGUAUUAUGAUGUACUCUCCAAUAUAUAUUCAAGUCAUUUCCAGUUAUUUGAUGAUCAAAGGUUUUAUUGACACUCACAUUUGGUUCAUUUAGUAGUUUUACUGCUAUAAAAGAUUGAACAGGAACUAGACCAAUGACUUAGUCAGAUCUGGACUUCUAACCUUUAAAGCAUACAAGAUAAUAAAAGUCUUUGAUCUCAAGGCACAUAAAAGAACUUAAUGUAGACUUAACGCAUUUACAACAAUCAUUUGAUAACAAGAAGUUAUAAUAACUUAGGGCACAAGUAAUCGACUUAAACACACUUGUUCUACAUCUGCCAUACUGAGAUAACAGUGGCACGCCUAAGCACUUAGUUAGUUUUGAUUGCAAGCCUCAAGGCCUACACCUAAGGCCCUACAAAGGCAUAUUUCAGAGCUAAUUUUGUCAUCCUCUUGCAUCUUCUAAACAAGCAGAAGCCCGACAACCAACCGAAGUGCCAACUCCUCAGGGAACUGUGUGCUCGAGCCAGGGGCCUUCUCCAGGGAAAUUCCUACCCAAACAUAGUUUUGGUAUGCUCAGUGGGACCACAAGGCUUGUAUGCCUAGAUGACGAAGGAAAGAGCAAACCUUAAGGUGGAAACAGAGCAAAAACCACCCCAGUAUAUGCCAAAAAUCAAACAUGACGAAUUUCCCCGAAGAUCUACAAGGACCUGUCUUGACGGAAAGCCCGACUCCUUCAGAGAAAUUAGGAGCAAAGGUCAUAAAUGAAGACCUACAUGCUACCAUGGUUGUUGUAUUAAGAAGCAUGAAGAAAAUCUUUCUAGAAACUAGAUAGGAAGUAAGUAGACUCUGUUCGCUAACAAGGAAUUUGCAAAGAAGGCUAGAUCUGGAGUACUUUACCUCAGAAAAUAAUCGUACUAGAGAGAUGAUGAGAGAAACCAGUCCUGUGAUAGAGCUAGUUAUUCUUCUGUUUCCUUUACUAGAGGAAAAGGGGAAUAAAGAAAAAAUAAGGAAGGAUCCGGAGUUAGUCAGCCAGUAUUGGAAGAAAUUCUGGAAGUGGAGUUGCCCGACCCCCUAUUUUCACUAAACAGUAGGGGCAGAGCGGGCAAGAAAGGAUGAAGUAUAAGAUGCCUCAGUUGAUCGGGGAAUCCAGUGGGAAAGGAAAACCUACAAAGGCAGACAAGCCUCCUCUUUAUAGGCCACCACUCUUGGCCAGUAAAGGAGGAGAGCCCCAAUGGAGGAAGCCCGAAGUAAGAAGGGAGAUUAACUCGGGUACCGAUCGUAACCCGAAGUGGGGACUUUCGCAUACCCCACCUAUUACAACGGCUAAUCAGGACCUCAGAGAUGAGUUGACUGAGUUAAGAAUGAUGGUGGUGAGAAAUGCUUAGCCACAAGCUCGCCCACUAUUUAGGGUUACCUAUCAGAAGCCCUACGGCCCUUACCCGGAGUUCGUUGAUUAGUAGAAUCCCUUUCCUCUUAACUUCAAGAUGCCCGCAUUCCUAACAUUCAACGGGGAAGAUAACAAUGUGUCCUCAAUGGACCAUAUCUUCAAAUUCUCCAACCAUUGUGUGGCAUUUGAAGAUAAUCCUAACUAUAAGUUAAUGUUGUUUGGGAAUUCAUUGACUGGGUUAGUGUGGAUGCAAAUUUCUUCCUCCUUGAUCUUGGACAAUUUUGCACCUACAAAACAAUUAACACCUUAGGUUAAGGCCAAGAGCCUCACACGCCCACGAUGAAUGGGGGGCUUUGGCCGAAGAACCUCCGAUGCCAAAGUUAGAAUUUAGAGAGAAAGAGUGUUUAGAGAAUUUUGGGAUUUUUGCCAAAGUGUUGGAAUGAAUAUUUGGUGAAAAUAAGAGCCUAUUUAUAGGGCUAGGUUGGUUCACUUUAAAGAGGAAUGUGGCCGGCAACUUAGUACGGUUUUUAGGUUUUGUUUUGGUUUAAUUAGGCAAUUAAUUGGCUAAUUAAACAUAAAAGGAAAUGUUUUGGUGUUAUGGAAUUUAUUGGCUAAUAAAAAGGAAGAAAUGGUGAAAAAGGUAGAAAAAAGUGAUGGAUUAGGUUUUGAAAUGGGGAUAGCCGGCCCUCUAGUGACUUUUAGGUUUGAAUGGGUGUUUCAAUUUGAUAAUUAAGGGAUUGAUUAGGUAAUUAAUCCCUUAAUCAGUCAAUUUGUAGGAAAUUUGAAAGGAAUAUAUUAUUUAGCUAAUUGAUUAGCUAAAUAAUGGAAUAUAAAAUAUAUUAAAUAAAUUAGGUUUUGGGAAUUACCUUAUAGAUAGGAUUUGAUGAAAUAGGCCUUAAAUUGUUACCUAUUUUGGGCACUUUUGACUUGGUUGAAAGAUGAUUGCCCACUGCUCGCGCAUAGGAAUCUCGGUAUGCCUCAAGGGUAUUUUUGUCCUCUUUUAUCCAAAAAACCACGUGGCGCCUAGUGAAUAUUUUUAGCUCCACAAAUGCCCCUACACCUGUUGGGCUGCUCGCAGAAAAGGGCAGCAGGUGUAGAGAUCUUCUUGCUUUAGGAAACUUAGGACUGUUUCCUAUUUUGAUGUAGAUUCUCUCUUUAAUAGGAAAUUAGAUCCUUCUAGGAAAGGGAAAUAAAUUUCUCUCAAAGCCUAUUUAAGUACACCUUAAGUGGGUUAUUAAAUUAACUUUGGAGAGCGAUUUAUUUUACCCUACAAGAGAGAGAUAGCUUAGAGGAUAUUUGUUCCCCCUCCUCUAGCAAUCUUCUACAUCUUGCCCAUGCAAAAGACCGUCUUUCAUUGCUUUCUUCGUCUUCUUCGUGCCGUACUGAGGUAAGAAAAAAUUAAUUUUCCUUGUCUUCUUCUUGGAUGGUGCUACCGCGAGGCAGCCGUAGGGGUGGUGCGGCACGUCGGCUGGCAUGGGCCAGGAGUCGGCUCGGCAUGGGCCGAUGAGGUAUUAGGGGUGGGUUCAAAAAACCGAAAACCGAAAAAAACCGAACCAAAACCGAAAAAACCGAACCGAAUUGAAAAAAUCGAAUCGAACCGAAUUCUUUUGGUUCGGUUCGGUUUUAGUGAUCUAGAAACCGAACCAAACCGAACCGAACCGAAUUAAUUAAAUUAAUUUUUUUUAUUUAAUUAUUUGUUUUGGGUAUUAUUUUCUAAACCCAAUUUGUAAGUUAAAAUGUGCUAAACCCAAUGUGUUGCCAAACUUUAAGCUCAAAAUAUUAAAAAAGGCCUAUAAAAACUCUAAACCCUAACCUAUUAUUUCUCCCUCAUAUAAGGUUCCGGAACCAAACCUCCUCUUGAAGUACCUACAUCUAUCUCCAUAGAACUGUCUACUUCUGCCCCAUAUUUCUUUUCCAAAUCUACUCUCAUAUAACAUGUAACAGAAUCCAAAAACAUUUAUUUCGGGUAGAUUACUUGGGUAAUUUGUGAUGGAAAAGAAUCCAACACACACUAAAUAAAUCCACCCACGCAUUACUUUUACUAAUCAAGUUGUCAACAUGAAGUUACAAGCAAACAACCUUGAUAUUUGAACAACAUCAUACAAUUUAACUUUUCUAAGUCAUUUGUACGAUUUUUGUGUUGUGAGGUUGUUAGUUUGGACUUUGGAAGACUUGAUUGAUGAUUUUAGUUCAACUUUAAAUGUUUAUUUUCAUUGUCUUUGAUUCUAGUUAGAAUGCUUAUGUUAUGAUUGUAUUGGAUAUGUUAAAAUUUAAAAUUUCAAUGUUUUUCAUUUUUUUGAAAAAAAAAAAAAAACCGAAACCGAAACCGAACCGAAAAAAAAUGAAUCGAACCGAAAUUUCGGUUUGGUUUCGGUUUUGGCAAAAAAUUGAACUGAUUUAAACCGAACCCACCCCUAUGAGGUAUUGUGGCAGGGACCACUGCUUUAAGCUGCUUGAGUUGGCUAGAACCAAGGGCAGCUUGUGUGGCUUUGGCCGCGGAUUGUGGUGCUAGGCGCGUCAUAUGGCUCAUGUCCUUUUAAGCUUUUGGACAUGACACUAGCUAGGCCGGUGAUUAAGAGAAAUGAAGAGGUUGCGGGCCUCAUGAGCUGUUGGAAUGUUGGGUUGAACUCCCCUGCUGGGUACCACGAAUGGCGUUGCCUACUUUAGCUAUCUUCGUCGAGAAACGUGGGCUGCUUCCAAAAGAUGAGGUGAAUAAGAUCAAGGUGGAUGCAUUGGCUCGUUCAACCACUGUUGUGGAUCUUGCUGCAAGUGAAGGUGGGAAAAGGGAUCUUCUCUGCUUGCUCAAGAGAUGCCGGCUGAGAAAAAACCAAAAAACUUCUUUCGGGCUUGUGAUUGACUUGACUGCAAGUGAAGGGGUUCGCCGACUGCUUCCAGGCUUGUGAUUGACUUGACUUUUUCCAAGGGGAUGAAAAAUAAGGCUGCUAGAUCUAAGCAUGUGGCGCCUGUCAUGUCAAGAAUGGCUAGUACAAUUGCUGAUAGGAUUGUUCGGCAUAAAGGUCCUGUUAUGCCCCUAGUGCCGAAUUUUGUACUAAGAUGUCUGUUGGGAGCUAAGUCCGGUUCACCUUUAGAGAUGCUUGCUAUUAUGAAAAGCGAUAAGGUGGACUCUGCUGCUAAAGUGGCGCCAAGGCCCAUUCCUUAUGCUGCUGAGAUUGAUUCGCCUGCUGGGAAUGAGGAGAUUGCUCGCGUAGGCAGCUGUGAGAAAUCCACUAAGCUUGUUUCUAAGGAGGCUGUUGAGAUCUAUGUGCUUUUGAAACCAGCUCUGCUUGAAAACAUGGACGCUUGUGCCAAGUUUGUUGAUGGUGUUAGAAAGGUUGUUUGCCCAAGCUCGUUUGCGAAACAUAUGACCCAAUAUAGAAGGACUGCUCUGCUUGCUAUGAUGCAGAUAUAGCAAGGCUGCUAAGGAGAUGGCAAAUACUAUGGCAGAUUCUGAGCUCGUUGUUUUGAAGGGGUCUAAUAUUUUUGCCCCUACUUCGUUGCAGCUUAAGACCUCUCGCCAAGAGAUCAUGGACUUGAAAACUAGGCUUGACUCGAUCCAAGUUAAGCAUGAAAGUGCAGAGAAGGAGAUCAGAUGUCACAUACCUUAGAUUCAAGAUUUUAAGCACGUUGUUUCUGAGCUUCGUUCUGCUGCAAAAGAUGAAGAGUUGAUUACUGCUUAUAACCAAGUGAUCCACUUCAAGAGAAUCAUCGAUAGUCUUGAACCCCAAGCGUUGGAACUUCAAAGCGUACUGAAGAUCAACGAAAGUCUGAAGAAGGAAGUGGAUGAGCUGCAAAACAUCCAUGUUGAUCUGAUCGAGGAGGAUGAUCAGUUGAAAGGUGAAAAGGCUGGGCUCGGGGUUUCGAGACCUUAUCUAUUUCUUCGGAAGACUUACUUGAUUUUACUUUUGAGGCUUCCAUUAGUGAAGUAGUUGGAGAAGUUAGUGCCCAGGCUGGGGCAGCCGGGGGUGAAGCGCCGGAUGAUACCGCUGCUAAGAGCGUCGCGGCUGCUGAAGGUGUGGCGACCGAGUAGUUGUGGGAUGUCCAAGCUGCUAUAGUCUUCUAGGUAGCCUUUAGGAUUUUAUUUUUUUUUCCUUGUAGCUCUUGUUUUGCUUGAACUCAUUCGACAUUUGCUAGUUGUUUAUAAAAAUGUUUUCCUUCGCUUUUCUUCAUCUUCGCUUCUUUUGUUCAUGCCCUAACUUAUAGACUUGAUAGACCAGUGGCAAGCAUGCUACUUUUUUAUAAGCAGACAAGCCCGCGUAGCCUAUGCAGCCGUAGGUGUUGGUGUAGAACUUUGCAAAGUUGUUAGCCAUAGGGUUGACAGCCGGAUGCCUUACUUACAGAAGCAGACAAGUCCGCGUAACCACUAGGCUGUUAACCUUGGCUUUCUUCAAUUCUGUAGGUUGCGUAGCAAGUAUCACAACACUUUAGGACUUGAUGUAGGUUGUUCUGUGCUUGGCAGAGGUGAAGCUUAUCGACUACGUAGCAUGUCGGCAGUGGAUAAAACUUCAUAAAUGCGUGCUAGCUUGUUUAACCUUUCACAAGAAUGUGCGGUUGUAUAAGUCUAGUGCGGUUGUAUAAGUCUAGCGUGGUUUUACUGCUCGAAGGGCAAGCCGUAAGCAGUCUUCCAAAAUCCAUAGGCUACCUUAGUACACUCAGUAGCAGCUUUAAGGUUCCAGGGUAGCCGUCUAUAGGGUGUACUGCAUAAUGUGCCCCCUUUGUCUUUGGGGUUCGGUUCCCCACGGAUUAGGCCAAGAGACCCAAAAUCCUUUAGUUAGCUAAGCCUUGAAAAAGACCAUUGUGGCUACUUAUAGGAAUCCAGGCGCAAGCCAUCGUGCAUCUAGUUAUACUAGGGCAGCCAAGCUCAUCCACAUCUGGAUAUUUGGAGUGUAAAGUUUAUCCUCCCGUCUUGGAAACUGACCCAUAUGGGUGUCAGGGAAUUGGUUUACCCUCUCGCACUGGAGAGCAAUUAGUUUACCUUUUCGCACUGGAGAGCAUGGUUGGUUCCUCGGGGGGCGCAAUUCCUAUGAUGAGUCCCUGAGUAGGUCGCAGUCUUCUUUUGAAGUGUAUGAGUGAUCAGUUGUUGUAAACAUGUAGCCGAGCCAAGUUGUGCUUACUUCUGAAUUCCUCAUUAAAAAAAAACAAGUGAAACGAAUGAGAACUUAGCUGUAAGGUAGGAAUUGCAUAACAACUGGAUAGUCUCCGGCUUGUCAGGUGGUGCCCGUCGAGCUUCUUGAGUCUUCGGGUUUUGUUGUAGCUGGGGAGGAGUUGCUGCUGGUAGGCUACUAUUCAAGUGAUGGUCUGCUCACGCUUCUCUUCUGCCAGAUCUAAACUUGUGGCCAUCUCCUUACCGUUCGGUUGUUCGUCUUUUGGUGGUGUGAUAUGCCAAUAAACAUCCGAAGAGUUCGUUUAGCCAUUUUUCUUUCUUGUUGGUGAGGGAUUUCUUGAGGCAGUCGAGGAUCGUCUUGUUGGAUACUUCGGCCUGCCCAUUACCUUGAGAAUAUCUCGGUGUGGACAUGUGCUGCUAGAUGCCAUAUUCUUAAGGCACUUUUGUACUAACUCCUUAACAUCUUGGUGCAUGGUAGGCCAAUAGUAGCCUACGUUAAGAGCCUUCUAUGCUAAGGAUUGGCCUCCAGAAUGGUUUCCACAUACACCUUCGUGGAUUUGAUCUUAGAACUUUCAAGUUGUCGGGAGGCGCUAGGCAGCGGAUAUGUGAUCCGUUGUGGGAUGUUUGGAUGAGAAUGCUAUGACACUUAGGCUGUUGGCUCCAUCUCUAUGCUUGGCUUGUCAAGAUAUUCCACCGGAAUAGAGCGUUUUGAGUUAGUGAUCGAGUGCGGAGCCUAGGCCGGCUAGUACGUCUGCAUAGAUGUUGUUUGCUUAGGGAACUUGAGUGAGAGUUUAAGUCUGAAAUGCCUCAAGCUACUUGCGUACUUUCUCUAGGUAUUACGUCAUCGACAUGUAAAUGCCAGAAAUCUCCAUUGAGGGAGCAGGUGCAGCUAAAGUGUGCUCAGCUGCCUUCAGGGAGCCUUUGGGCCGCUCUGCUACGUUGUCAAGGCUAGGUGUGAAGGCGCGGUAGAGAGCCGUGGGGCUGGGGCCAUGUUACAUGUAGCAGGAAAUGCUCAAUUUCUGGUAUUAGGCCACUCUAGAGCUGAAUAAUGGAGCAAAGGUUGGCUAAGACCGUGUGACGUGUAGCAUGAGGUAGUGCUCAAUUGCCGGUACAUGUUGCUUUUAUGUAGAAUCUUCUGGGGCGACGAGGACAAAACUUGCUUUUGAAUGUUCCUUCCAGUGUUCUUCUACCCUUGGCGUGUCUUUUGGGCCUAGUUGUUGCGUUCGUCAGGAUUCGGUGGAAUAGUGCAUCAUAUAAUGAUGACUGCGUGCGUUUGAGGGUAAAACUUAAGCUUUUAGGUUACAACAACUAUCGUCAAAGUUAGCUUUUGAAUUUCUGAUAACAUCAAUGAGAGCCUUUAAACUGUGGAAUACAACUGAUAACAUUGAGGAGAGCUUUUAAACUGUGGAAUACAGGUAGUCGGGCCCCCAGCUCUUCCCGUAUCAUGGUAGAGCUUAUUUCUGCUUCAGAUGCAACUAUUCAUCCAGUCAAACUUUGAAUCUCCUUCAGAGUAGUGGGGAACUUCAUAUUCAAGAUUGCUUGGAUUUUUCUUAAAUGGGCAUCGGCGAAUUUCGUCCCAAAGUGCAUGCUUCUCUGCCAUAACGAAAGAGUCUACCAGAGUUAGAUCUUAUUUCAUUAUAAGUUUUCCGAACAGUGGGUGGUCUGCUGGAAGUCCUUUUUGGAAGGCUGCUCUAGCUAUCGAGUCGUUGCAUCCCACUAUUUUUACCUUUUAUACUUUGAACCUCCUCACAUAGUAGCGAAGCGACUCCUUUGGGUUCUUCUUGACGUCGAACAAAUGGUCAGACUUCUUUUUAAUCGACCGAUAAGAUGAAUAUUCUUUGGUGAAAACCAAAGAAAGUUCAUAGAAAUUCCAGAUGGAUUGUGGCAGCAGGGUGUAAAACCAAUAUUGCACCUUGCCUUGUAGAGUGGUGGCGAAUAUCUUACACAUGAGAUCAUCGUUGUUUCGAUAAAGGAUCAUUGCGCUUCGGUAGCACUUUAAGUGUCUCGCCGGGUCUUCAUCUCUUUUGAAAGAUGUGAAAUAUGGCAUGCUGAACUCUCGUAGAGGCUCUGCCUGCUCGAUCUCGUCCGUGAAGGGUGACCUGCUUAUGUUGGUCAUGUUCCAUCGUAGUGCCUCGUCGGUGACCUCGUUGCGUUGGAAAUCGUGCAAUCGCUUGGUUGAAAGUCUCUUUACUUCUUCCUGAAUUUACUUUUGUUAGGGUAGCGGAGCUCUCGGCUGUCCCCAACCAUGACUUGUUGGUCUAGGCUGCUCUUCCAUGUGUUUGGCUCAUCUAUACCGCGGAUGCAGUGCAUGUGGUGCAUUCCUAGCAGGCGAGCGAGUUCUUCGCAGGCUGCUGGUUGAACUGGAGUUGGAUUGAGUGACUGCUUCUCUCCGUCCGUAGUGCUGCCUACUCUGAUGUGAGGUGGAUGAUGCUCCUUGAGGGCUUAGCCGCGAAUGAACACUUUGCCCAGAAGGUUGCUCAUGUUGACUAUCGGAGUGUGACCCCAACCAUGAAUGUAUGCUUAUCCGUGGGCUUAGUCGAGAGUGCACGCUCCUCCGCGCGUUAAGAUGGGAGUAUACGCUAUCUCGAGGGCCCAAUCGGGAAUGUACACUACCCGAACGCUCGGCUUAUGGCUGGUCGAGUGGCUGCUUGCCGGGACACUGCUGGAAAGGUUCGUCUACCCUUGUCCUACUUUGGGAUACCUCAUCCGGGGCACGUUGGAUCCCGAUGCGUUGCAAAAGUUGAUUCACCAAGGUUUUCUGUUGUGCAAGGGCGCUCGUCAACUCUAUGACUUAUCGAGACAAGUGUUGUUCGCCAUUUAGAUUGGAAGAGCUUGGAAAGAAUGCGCCUCAUUGGGUAGUGGAAAUGUGGUAGACUCCGGGCGAGAGAUUUGAGUUGGUAAAUGUCAAAUCCACGAAAAAAUAUAGUGAGAUUACCCCUAGCUCGAUGGUAGGUCCGGAUAGUUGAGAUAGUCUUGGGCCAACUUGGGCUGCUUAGAAAUCCACGGGAGCUGACUGGGCCGCGGGAGCAGGCUGGGCCAUGAGAGCAAGUUGGGCCAUGAGAGCAGGCUGGGCUACGAGAGUGGGCUGCUCGGUGGGAGCAGGUUGGACCACGAGAGUGGGCUGCCUGUCGGGAGCAGGGUAGGUCACGAGAGCAGGUUGGGCCAUAAGAGCAGGCUGGGCUGCGAGAGUGGGUUGCCCGUCGGCAGCAGGCUGGGCCACGAGAGCAGGUUGGGCCAUGAGAGCAGGCUGGGCUGCGAGAGUAGGCUGCUCGGUGGAAGCAGGCUGGGUCGCGAGAGUUGGUUGCUCGGCGAAAGCAGGUUGCUCGGAGUGUGAUGCACAUAGGUGCGAAGCUUAGGCUUGGCUUGGCAAUGCGUUGAGUUUACAUUGGGCUUUGAGUGACAUGGCUUAGGUCAUGGCCUUGGUGCCGUGAGCCUUGGAUGGCACGGCUCGGGCCGUGGUGAAGGCACCAUGAACCUCACCACGGGUGACUACCGAGGUAGCCACCGUGGUGGUUCCCGUGGUGGAAACUCGUGGUGGUGGUGCCGCUCCACUUAUUGUCGCAUUUAGCCUCACGGAUCUCCGCAAUCCCAUUUCUUGAAUAUUAAAAUUUUCACUUGUGGAAUUUUCUAAAUUUCUAGCCAUUAUAUUGCUUAUAAGUUUUAUCAAAGAACUAUUGCAAGUAAAAAAUUCUAAUAAUAGGAACGUAUGAAAAAUAUUCAAAUGGACUAGAAAAUAAAGAAAAAACCUUUUUGUGCGAGAGUCUUCUACGAGUAUGGAUUUCAACUCUCAAUGAAAGCACCAAUUUGUGGAUGCAAAUUUCUUCCUCCUUGAUCUUGGACAAUUUUGCACCUACAAAACAAUUAACACGUUAGGUUAAGGCCAAAAGCCUCACACGCCCACGAUGAAUGGGGGGGGCUUUGGCCGAAGAACCUCCGAUGCCAAAGUUAGAAUUUAGAGAGAAAGAGUGUUUAGAGAAUUUUGGGAUUUUUGCCAAAGUGUUGGAAUGAAUAUUUGGUGAAAAUAGGAGCCUAUUUAUAGGGCUAGGUUGGUUCACUUUAGAGAGGAAUGUGGCCGGCCACUUAGUAGGGUUUUUAGGUUUUGUUUUGGUUUAAUUAGGCAAUUAAUUGGCUAAUUAAACAUAAAAGGAAAUGUUUUGGUGGUUAUGGAAUUUAUUGGCUAAUAAAAAGGAAGAAAUGGUGAAAAAGGUAGAAAAAAGUGAUGGAUUAGGUUUUGAAAUGGGGAUAGUCGGCCCUCUAGUGACUUUUAGGUUUGAAUGGGUGUUUCAAUUUGAUAAUUAAGGGAUUGAUUAGGUAAUUAAUCCCUUAAUUAGUCAAUUUUUAGGAAAUUUGAAAGGAAUAUAUUAUUUAGCUAAUUGAUUAGCUAAAUAAUGGAAUAUAAAACAUAUUAAAUAAAUUAGGUUUUGGGAAUUACCUUAUAGAAAGGAUUUGAUGAAAUAGGCCUUAAAUUGUUACCUAUUUUGGGCACUUUUGACUUGGUUGAAAGAUGAUUGCCCACUGCUCGCACGUAGGAAUCCCGGUAUGCCUCAAGGGUAUUUUUGUCCUCUUUUUUUCCAAAAAACCACGUGGUGCCUAGUGAAUAUUUUCAGCUCCACAGUUAGCAUCUGAGUGGUAUUCUCUUUUGCCUCCAAAUUCUAUUAUUAACUGAGGGUAAAUGGAGAUAGCUUUCCACGAGCAGUUUUACAGGAUGAAGCCAGAUAUGACCAUCAACGAUCUGGUUGAGGUAAAGCAAUACGAGUAUAAAUCUAUCGGGGACUUCAUGAUGAAGUUUAGGAAGACAAGGAUGACAUGCCAGUUUCCUAUUAACCAUGUCUAGCUUAUAGCUAUUGCUCAUAAGGCCUUGAGGUUACACUUGAGGAAGAAGUUUUAUGAUGUGCAGUUUAAUGAGUUGUAAGAACUAGUGAUUGCCGCCACCAAGUAUGAAAAAUUGUUGAUCGAGGAACAACAAGCAAAACCUUCCUCCAAAGUACCCCCAUUCUAUAAAAACAAGGUUGCCAUUCAUCAAAUGGAGUUCGAAAGGAUGAAGCCAAAGAAAAUGAUGGUUGUGGAAGAGAUGGAAUUGGUAUGUGUGCAAUAGAGAUGACCAUUCCCUUCAAGCCUUUGAUAGUAAAGGGAUUGGUGAUAGGAGCAUAUUUAUGAGACUUCGUUAUCUUAUUUCUUUGCAUUUUCUUAGUUAAUUUCCAUAUAUUUUGGUAAUUUAUGUUAUUUUCGUAUUAUUGUAGGUCCAAUUGGGAAAGAUGACAAUAAAUGGCAAAAUGGGGCAAUUUGGAGUAGUUUUGGACAAUAGGCUUGGAUAGCAUAUGGGCUAACGUUUUUGGUGUUUAAAUGGUGUUGGAUUUGUGCUAAAAUUUAGAGGAAUUAAAAUUGAGGCUUGGAAGAUAAGGAAUUAGAAAAGAAAGAGCAACCUUAUCCAAUCUUAUGUUAUCCAACCUUAUGUUAUCCUAUCUUAUCCAAUCAUACCUUAUCUUAUCUCUAGCUGCAAAGAGGAAUCCUUAUGACAUUCUAACACUUCCUAUCUGAUUCUAGGAGUCCUAAAAUAAUUCAAAUGACCUAAUCCUUUUCCUCCUAGGGUUAUCCGUGCCUUUGCCCUAUAAAAACAAAUUGUGUCGCAAAUAUUGAGGGAGAGAAAAAAGUGCCGCAACCUGCAUCCAGAGAGGAAGUGCCGUAACCUGCCAUUCAACCAUUGGAGUUUCCAAAGUUCUUUCUAUUCUUGUUUAGUUUCAAUGUUUAUUUUAGAUUGCUUUUCAAUUAUGAUGAACAUGUGUAACUAAGUUUCUUUUUAGCUAGAGGUGAAUUCGAAGCCAUGAUCAUAUGUUUUAUAUAAAUUGAUUACAUCUAGUUAUUGAUCGUAUGUUUAUUGAGGAUGCAUACUUAAUUUGCAUGCAAGGAUAAGGGAAUUUCACCUAAUCGUUAUGAACUUAUAUUUGCAACUAGUAAAAGUCACUAGUCAUGAUUGAGUUAAGUUAAUUCUUGGCAGAAGUUUCAUGCUUUUCAUAGUUACAAAUGCUUCGUCAAUGCUUAUGAUUUUCACAGAACUUAAUGAUCUUCGAGAUGUAUCUCUAUCAUGCUUUUCAUAGUUAGGGAACUUGAGAAGAAUAAUUUGAUUGUGUCGUUGAGUCCAAUUCAAUAAACCUAGGAAAAUCUAAGAGUUAAUUUGUGCAGUUCACAGUUAAUUUAGGGCAUUGUCAUUCAUGGUUUAUAGAAAUAAUAACUGGAAAUCGAUUUGUAUGCAUAUGUUUCAUGUGUGGAGAACAAUCCUCUAGCUAGCCUUUCACCUAUAUCUCGUACAAGACCUAAUUCGUUUGCUACAAUUUACUUUAUUUUUGUUAAAAUUCGUCCAAAAACCCCCCUAAGUUCUUAUUUUGUGUUAGUCUAGCUUAGUUUUCAGUUUUUAAGUUUAAUUUGUGUUGAUUAGCAUCCCUCCUAAUCCCCGGCCUAGAACGAUCCCUACUUGCUUAUACUACAAUCAUCUAAAUUAUAGUGUUUAAUUUGUGUGUUGGUUUAUAUCACAUCAAUUGGUCCAGCCGGUUAAAGACCAGAAAGUGGUCAUGAAUGAUGAUGGACUUGUACCAAUGAAAACCCAUAAGUAUCAAAGCUAUUCCUUUAAUCUAACCAAGGCAGCAGAAAUCUAUGAGGAGCUGGUUCGAGCAAGAGUCAUCGUGCCCGACAGUGCCAAAAAGUUGCCCAAGCCUGAAUAGCUGAGAGGGAAAAAGUAUUGCAAGCUGCAUUACACUUUCAAUCACUUCAUAUCCAAAUGUGUCUAGUUUAGAGAUUGGAUACAAGAUAUCAUUGUCAAAGGAAAACUGUUGCUGGAAAAAAUGCAGGCUAAAAUGAUGGUUGAUACUGAUCUUUUUCUAGAGGCCUCAAUAAACAUGAUCAAUUUGAUGUGGACUGAAAAGGGGAAAGGAAAAGCUACUUGGGAUGUGAAAGCAAAACAGAGGCAAAUUAACAGGCUAACUGAGGGAGCCAUAAAGUUGCCCGAGAAACCUAAGGCAACCAUAAUCAAAUGAGUAAUAUUGUGUAAUAGAUGCCAAUAUGAGUGCGAGUUAGAAGUCCCAGCGUCAGGAGCCAUUAUUGAUCAAGAGAUGAUCAAGAAAAGAGAAAAAGAAGAGCAAGAGGCCCAUAAAAAUGUUAUGCGAGCAGCUGAAAGAGAGACCUCUAAGAAUAUUGUCCAAAGGUUGAAAAGAGAUUCUCAACCAAGGGGCUUGUCAUAAAUGUUUAGAAAUUAUGAAGCUUCUGAAGAGGUAGAAGACAGAGAGGCCAAGGUGCCAAGAUUGGUGGAUGUGAAGCCAUCCCAACCAAGCUAUGCCGGUGGAGAUGUUAGAGUAAAAGGGAGAACCGUGAAUACAGUUUCAAAGAAGAAUCAUGCUCGACUAGGUCAGAAAUGGUAUGUGGUCGGAAAAGAUGAGAAGCCCGUUAAGGAAAUGAAAGUCUCUAUGAUUAGAAGAGUCCAAAGACAACAUAAAGCCCACAUGAACUCAUUGAAGGUCCCCAUUGCCUUAUAAACCUUUAAGAAUGUAAAGUUGGAGAAGGUACCCAAUGAGGGAAGGAAUCAACUUUAUUGGAAAACCAAGAAGGAGGUGGAGAAGGCUAAUAGCAAGACUGAAGAGGAAGGAGACCAUGUGUUGUAGUGCCCCUAUCCUGGGAAAUACAUAAUUCUGAGAAUGGCUCAAGAAGAUAUGAUAUUGAUACCAACCCCGAGAUGGAGCCAGGAGCCAAUAUGUUUUAGAACUAUCUCGCCCGAGAGAGGGAUACCCUCACCAUUGAUGGUUGAUACCCUUUGUCAAGAUAUGGACCAAGUGCAGAAUUUUGGUAUAACUCAGGAAUGAGGUUUGCUCGAACUAGUGCUACAAAAAGAAGCACAUGAUUGGUUGGAUGAGUUCGCAGAGCAUAUCCGAGCCAAUGAGAAAGACUUACCUAGACCUAGCAACUUCCAUGUAAACAUGAUAUAUGUUUUAUCUGCCAUGUUUGUCCCAAACACGAUCAACCUGCCACGAUGGAGGGUGACUACUUGGCGAUAGAACCCCUGAUGGCACAUGUUAGUGUUGAGAGACAUAGAAAAUGGAAUCAAGCAAAACGGAUGUGCUUAAACUGGCGAAGAGGAAGCCUAAAAGGAUAUAUAUAGAUAUGAUGAUCUUUAGUCGCCUGAGUUUGGCCAUGGCCAACCAUCUCAAACCCAUAUACGUAAUUGCUCAUUUGGAGGGAAUACCUUUCAAGAGGGUUUUGGUUGAUGGUGGAGCUGUGGUCAACGUACUGCCUUACAAGUAGAUGAAUAGAAUGUGCAGAAGUGAGAAGGAUUUCAUCCCCACAUAUCUUACAGUUUCCAGUUUCUUGGGAGCCAUUACUAGGACUCAUAGGAUACUGCCAUUAUAAGUUUGGCUUGGGUUCUAAACAAAUCAUCCUGGCAUUUUUUGUUGUUGACAGUACUUCCACUUACAGAGCUUUACUGGGCAGAGAUUGGAUUCAUCAAAGUUUCUCUGUGCUAUCUACCUUACACCAACAAGUGGUUGUUUACAAUAAAGAAUGAUAAGCAUGACCUAGAUUUUAGGAGAUAAUAGAGGCCGAAUCAUGGCCAUUCCUCCCUACAAACAACAUGGCAGAACCCAAUUUCCACAAUCCCAGUGUUGGGAAUGUUUAGGAGCUGAUAAGAACGGCCGCCUAACCAAGGUGAUAGCCUAGAAGCUUCUAGAGCAAAGGUUAUAUCUUACAAGGGAGGAAUAGGAUAGACCCCAUAUCAUCCCAACUCCCCAACAUCAGUAAUGUUAGAAUAGAAAAGAAAGGACCAAAUGGUUACAGUCAGGUCCUUAAUAAAAAGAUUGUUGGUGUAUGGAAAAAAAAAAAAGCAAGUGAGGGAGAGUUCAACCAGGGAAGAAAAUGAAUGGGAAGAAUAAGCCUCCAACAGCAGAAUAGAAGAUGAGUGUUUUGAGUUGGAAGCAACCAUAUAGAUGGCUGAGUGUAUAUAUGAUCUGGAUGGGCUAGAUGAUUUUCCUGAAAAUCCAGAGUUGGUUGAAUUUUUGUGUGCAGAACCUGACAAGCCACCCCCAGAAGUACAAGACCCCUUGGAGACCAUUGAUUUGGGAACUAAGGAGGAUCUGAGGCCUAUACAGAUUAGUGGUUUGUUGGAAACCGAGGAUUGGGCAAGGAUUAUCAGCAUUUUGCACGAAUUCAAUGACUGUUUUACUUGGGGUUACACCGGAAUGCCAGGUUUAGAUCCAACCUUAGUAGAACAUAUUAUGCCUAUUAAGGAGGGAUUUAAACUAGUCAAGAAAGCACCAUGGAGGAUGUCAAAAGAGAUCAAAGAAAUGGUCAAAAAAGAGAUCGAGAGGCUGGUGAAGGUUGGAUAUAUUAAGCCUGCCAAAUAUGUCGAGUGGUUGGCCAACAUUGUACCUGUAUUAAAAGCUUUAACUAAAGCAGUUUGAUGUUAUGUUGACUAUAGAAACAUUAAUGGAACCAUGCCUAAAGAUGAAUAUCCCAUGCCCAUGGCCAACUUAUCCAUAGAUGCAGUUGCCAAACAUAAAGUUCUAUCUUUCAUGGAUGGGAAUGUUGGUUACAAUCAGAUAAAAAUGGCUAAAGAAGAUAUGCAUAAGACAACUUUUAGGUGCCCGGGUCAUGUCGGAGCAUAUGAGUACUUGGUAAUGUCAUUCGGGCUCAAAAAUGUCGUGCAACCUAUCAAAGAGCAAUGAAUGCCAUUUUUCAUAACUUAAAUCGGCCAUAGCAUGAAAGUAUACAUUGACGAUAUUGUGGUGAAGUCUAAAACUGAAUAGCAGCACUUAGUAGACCUCAGGCAAGCCUUGACAAUAAUGAGGAUCCAUAAGUUAAAAAUAAACGCUAAGAAAUGUGCUUUUUGGGUAAGAUCGGGCAACUUUUUGGGAUUUCUUGUUCACCAAAAGGGAGUUAAGGUCGACAAAAAUAAAGCUUGAGCAAUACUGGAAACACCUCAUCCUACCAAUAAAGUGCAAUUACAAAGGCUACUAGGAAAUAUCAAUUUCUUGAAAAGAUUCAUUGCUAACUUGGCAGGCAAGAUUCAGUCGCUAACUCCUUUGUUAAGAUUGAAAGACAAGGAAGAGUUUGAGUUGGUGGGUUUUUGACAGAAUAAAAGCUUACUUGGCUUCUCCACCAGUGCUCAUGCCUCCUCAAAAAGGGAAGCCUUUAAAGGUUUAUAUUUCCACCUCUGAGAAGUCAAUGGGAAGCUUGUUGGCUCAAAAUAAUGAAGGUGGAAAGGAACAUACCAUAUACUACCUUAGGAGAAUCCUUACUGAGGUAGAGACGAGAUAUACUCCAGUAGAGCGGUUGUGUUUAGCUCUAUACCUCACUGCCUGCAAGUUAAGAUAUUAUAUGUUACCUUGCCACAUCCACAUUAUUGGCAAGACAGAUGUGAUCAAAUACAUGUUAUCAAAACCAAUGCUGACUAGGAGGAUUGGAAAAGGGAUUCCUAGCACUAUCCAAGUUUAGUUUCCAAUACGUGCCUCAAAGAGCAAUCAAGGGACAAGCAAUCGCAGACUUCUUACCUGAGCAUCAAGAGUCCCAAGAAGAAAUUAUCAACGUUCUAGGAACUCUGGAGGUGGCUAACAUAUGGAUCCCACCAAACAAUUAUCACUUAGCGACCAUUCAGUUGUUGAGUUAUUGGGGCGCAAAAAUAUCAGUUGGCUACAUCCCUAGAAAAUCAAAUAUAAUUGCCAAUGAAAUGGCGCAAUUAGCUUCUAGAGUACCGAUCCAAGAAAGGAACUUUGAAGGGAAUAUAGAAGUUCAGAAAAGAAAUCUCCUUCCUAUCUUUGAAAGGGGAUUUCACCUAGAUGUAAUGACUGAAGAAAUGUAGAUGGAGGAUUGGAAGACACCUAUUAUCCAGUAUUUAAACAAUCCAUCAUUCCCCACAAGCAAGAAAAAUGGACAACAAGCGACUGAGUAUGUCAUGUGGGACAAAACCAUGUUGAGAAAAACUCCAUAUGGGCUCGUACUAAAGUGUUUAGGCCAAGAAGAAUCCAUAAGGGUAAUGGCUGAGGUACAUGAGGGAAUUUGUGGUGCACAUCAAGCUAGAAAUAAAAUGAGGUGGUUACUAAGAAGAUAUGGCUAUUUCUGGCCCGAGAUGGAAAGGGACUGUAAAGCUUAUGCCCAAGGAUGUGAAGAAUGCCAGAGAUAUGGACCUCUUCAACAUGUGCCCUUGGUACCCUUAAACCCCGUGGUCAAGCCUUGGCCCUUCAGAGGAUGGGCAAUGGACUUCAUCGGGUAAAUUCACCCAGCCUCUAGCAAAGGACACAUGUUCAUAAUCAUAGUGAAAUAUUACUUCACCAAGUGGGUAGAAGCUUUAGCUGUGAAGACUAUCACUUCAACUGCAAUUAAGAAAUUCAUUGAAACCAAGAUUUUACACAGAUUUGGGGUGCUCGAGACAAUUGUCACAGACUGCGGGCCAUCUUUUAUUUCAAAAGAAGUAGAGGAGUUUGCGAAUAAGUUCAAAAUAAAGAUGGUUUAAUCCAGUCCUUACUACCCCCAGUCAAACGGCCAAGCAGAAGCCAGGAACAAGAUCUUGGUAAACAUUAUUAAGAGAAUGGUGGCCGAGAGUCCAGAAAAAUGGCAUGAGAAGAUGGGAGAUACUUUGUGGGCUUAUAGAACUUCCAAGAGGGCAGCAACUGGAACUACUCCUUAUUCUCUAACUUUUGGGCAAGAUGUUGUGCUCUCUAUGGAGAUUAAUGUAAGUUAUGUCAGAAUUCAAAAUCAAUUCGGGCUAGUGAAGAGUACAUUUAAGCUAUGUGUUAAGGAGUUGAAGAUCUUGAUAUAGCCCGAAUUGAGGCUCUAAAUAAAAUUCAAGAGGGGAAGGAAGCUGUUGCCCGAGCAUACAAUAAAAAGGUGAAGUUGAAGAAUUAAAAAAAGGAGAGUUAGUAUAGAAGACAAUUCUCCCUUUGGGAGCUCAAGUUAGAAGUUUUGGGAAGUGGAGCCUGACUUGGAAAGGUCAUUUCAUUAUUCACCAAGUAUUGGACAAAUGGGGAUAUUACUUGGCAGAUUUGGAGGGAAGCUUAUAGAAGCAUCCAAUUAAUGCUAAAUUCUUAAAGAAAUAUCACCCAACAUUGUGGGAUGUUAGAGAUUGUUACAUUGAAGAAGUGUAAGCAUUACAUGGAAUCUAAAGGUAGUUUCGGCUCAUCAUAUUUAAGUCUCAAGAAAAGAAGGCAAGCUAAAGUAAUUUGAAGAAGUCAUUUUCAUUUCAGUAUAUGUUGAAGAUUACAUUAGAUUUAGCUUAAUAGUUUUACAUCCUUGACUAGGGCAGCUAUCCUAGAAUGUUGGGUCCACAUUUCACCUGACUCCUCCUAAACAAUGUCACUGUUAGCUAAAUAUGUGCUAGCAUGUCCGGCUUCCAUUUUUUGUCUUAAACUUCUUUAAAUAUUUUGAGCCUUUAUCCACAAGCCCGACCAAGUUACUUUGACCGACAAAGUCAUGGCAGUUGAUCCUAAAAAAUACACCUAUGAUGGUAAAGUGAUCAAGAAAGUAGAAGUUAUGGGGAAGUCUGAGCUUGUGAAUAUCAGCAUAAGUGGAAUCUACCAGUGUGAUUAAGGCUGCUCGGCUACUCCUCAAUGUCAUAGAAGUCUUGAAAUAGAGGCUGGAAUCAGUGCGCUUUUCUGGAGAUAUUAUAAAAGCUGAUUUCUCCUUAGGCAUGUUGUUUCCAAUAGCAAUUGAGACUUGAGAAAUCCAUUAAGGUCCCAAUGAGUGUACUCUUCAUUCAUCAAAGAAAAAAAGAAGUCUACAGGCCUGCUCGAGGGCGAUAAAGGUUGUUGACCAAAUAGUGCAUGGUGGAAAUCCCUUUACCAGUCUUGCAAGAAGAUUGAGUACAAAUAAUCUUGGGUGCUAUGGGGUGAUUUCAAGAGAAAAAUGGGAAGAAAAUUGGAAUUAGAAGGGAAAAAUUGAAAAGCAAGAGCAGACAAGAAAAAUUCUGGUGAGUUAUAGAAUUCAAAGGCUUAGAGAGAUUUUGAUAUUUGGUUGAGAGAUGAAUUGGGAUUAUAUAAUGAACAGUUGAUUAACGACAGAGAUCGUGGGUUAGUGUAAAGGUCCAGUUUACAAACGAUUGCAUUAAAUGGCACGAGUCUCGAGUAUGGGCGUGCGAUGGUGGUUGUGAGGUGACUAUUCAAUCAUUAUUUACGCCUCAGUUUGGAGGUUUAACAACGAUUGAAGGGGGCACUGCUUGGGUUAAUAUUUAAACUUUGGACCUAAAAGAAAGAAAGCCCAUAAGAACUAAAGGAAGGAGUCUUGCCUGAGGCUCAACACCAGGCCUAUCCAUCAAUCCCAGGACAAUAUGUUGGCUCCUCAUUAAUGCAAAGGCUAAGCGCUUACAAGGGAAGUGACAAUUGAUGGAAAUCAACCUACUCUCAGCCCAAAAGCACUUUUUGAAUGGCAGAACAUGUAAAAAAGAUGAUGACUCACUAAGUGCUUUCAGGCAAAGCUUGUAAUAGCCAAGAUAAAAUGCCUAUAAAAGGGAGGACAGGGCCUAGAGAUGAGGAGACUCAACCAAUCAAACAAACAAGCAUACAAACUCUGCUCUCAAGCCAGUUCGUACCUUCCAAACCCUUUUUAGCAGUUCCCUUAAAAAGUCAUCUUUUGUCAGUUGUAAAAGCUCUGCUACAUUCUCCAGAUGAUGUAGUAUCGAUUCACUCAUGUAAACUUGUUUACGACUUAUCCCUUUUAACAUACAAACCUCAGUAAUCACAAAGAGAAGAAACUGUAAGACGUUCACCCAAGGUGAAAUCUUACCCGACCCUCUUUGUUUUAUCUUUCAAUUAGUAGAUCUGGUAUUAUGAUGUACUCAGGGGGAGGGGGUGGGCUUAACCUCACAAUGAACCAUUCAAUCUUUUUAACAAGCGAUAUUAUCUACACUAAGGGGGAGGGGGUGGGCUUAGCCUCACAAUGGGCUAGCAAUAAUGUGAUUCAAUCAAUUAUUUAUUAAAUAUUAUUUUCUCUAUUUUAAACACGUUCAAAACAUCUUAAGAGGCAUAUAAUGCUGGUUAUAAAAAAGGUCUUUCACACGCGGAUAAUAAUGUGAUUAAAUUACCUUAAAUUAGUUGUCAAAUGAUUGUUUUUUUUUUUUAACAAACGAUAUUAUCUACACUAAGGGGGUGGGGGUGGGUUUAGCCUCACAAUAGGCUAGCAAUAAAGUGAUUCAAUCAGUUGUUUAUUAAAUAGGUGAGUAGUGAUCUUGGUGUUACCAAGCUUCAACAAAAAAUUUUGGACAAAAAUGCCCCCAAGACAAAAAAAAUCAAAGGCAUCCCAAAAUAAUGCAUCAAAUAAGGCAAGGGCAUUUUUCUCAUUUUAACAAUAUUUUUUUAAUAAUAAUUUUUUUUUGUGUUUUUUCUAAUUAGUACCUCACAAUAGGCUAGCAAUAAUGUGAUUCAAUUCCUCUAUUUUUAAACACAUUCAAAACAUCUUAAGAGGCAUGUAAUGCCGGUUAUAAAAAAAUCGUUUGCACGCGGAUAAUAAUGUGAUUCAAUCAAUUGUUUAUUAAAUGGAGAAAUUAGGUUCUCAUCCUUCAUUUUGCUACUCAUUUGAUUAAGGGGAACUUUAAUGAAAAGCACCUGGUACUGUUCACUUUAACGAAAAACCAAAUUUUUACACUAAAAAGUCAAUCUUGGUACUAUUCACUUUACCCUUUAUUUUGUCCUUAUCAUUAAAACUCAAAGUUUUCAAGCCCUUUUCAUUAGUUUUCCUUUGAUUAAAACCUUAUUCCUUUUCAUUUUUUGAUCAAGGUCCUUGGUAUUAAUAGCAUCAUUAAUUAUUUCAAUAAUAAAAUAUUUUUUAUUUCUAAAUAUAUUCACUUAAUGUUAAAAAUGUUACAAUUAGUAUAUUUAUAUAUAUGGCUAAAUUUUUUAUCAUAUAUUUUUAUUUUUAGUUUGUACCCUUUUUCAAUUUCCAACCCCUUUUUUAAUUUGUACCAAUUUUCUUUUCAGUUUUAAUUUGUACCCAUAUAUUUUUUUUUUUGUGCCCAUAUUUUAUCAAGUUUUAUUUGUAUUUGUACCCAUAUUUUAUUUAUUUAUUUGUACCCAUUUUUAAUUUUGCUAAAUGUACCCAUGCUAAUUAUAUGUAUGUAACAUCCCACAUCGCUCGGGGAUGUGGAUCCUGUAAGUAUAUUCCCAUCUUUACCUAGCAUGAGGCUUUUUGGGAGCUCACUGGCUUCGGGUUCUAUCGGAACUCUGAAGUUAAGCGAGUUCACGCGAGAGCAAUUCCAUGAUAGGUGACCCACUGGGAAGUUCUCGUGUGAGUUCCUAGAAACCAAACCGUGAGGGCGUGGUCGAGGCCCAAAUCGGACAAUAUCAUGCUACGGCAGAGUCGAGCCCCGGAUAUGGUGGGGGCCCGGGCCGGGAUAUGACAAUUUGGUAACAGAGCCAAUCCCUGGCCGGAAGUGUGCCGACGAGGACGUCGGGUCCCUAAGGAGGGUGGAUUGGAAUAUCCCACAUCGUUCAGGGGAGUGGAUCCUGUAAGCAUAUUCCUAUCUCUACCUAGCACGAGGCCUUUUAGGAGCUCACUGGCUUCGGGUUCUAUCGGAACUCCGAAGUUAAGCAAGUUCGCGCAAGAGCAAUCUUAUGAUGGGUGAUCCACUGGGAAGUUCUCGUGUGAGUUCCUAGAAAGAAAACCGUGAGGGCGUGGUUAGGGCCCAAAGAGGACAAUAUCGUGCUACGACGGAGUCGAGCCAUGGAUGUGGUGGGGGUCUGGGCUGGGAUGUGACAAUGUACCAUUCAUGUAAUUUUUCAAAAUUUUAAUCUUAAAAUGUGCUCAUUUUUAAAUAUACCAAUUUGUUAUAUGUAAAAUGUACCCUUUUUUUAUAUAAAAUAUAUUCAAUUUUUUUCUAACCCAUUUUUAAACUUAUAUGGGUACAUUCUGUUUACUUUGAUUUGAGAAUGUAUCCAUGUUAAGUUUAAUCGAAGAAAUUUACUAAUUUUAUUAAGCCUAAUAUUUUCUUCUUCUUCUUUUUUUUUUUUUUUGUGAUUUUGAAGAUUGUACCCAUGUUUUGAUACAAUAAUUUGUUGGUAUUUUUUAUGAAUGUACCCAUGUUUACGCGCGCACACACACACACACAAUAGUAUGUUUAUAUUUUAAUAUUUUUAAGCCCACAAAUUAUGAUUUUUUAUUUAAAAUCUCAUUAAUAUAAAUAACUAUAAAUUUCAAUUUUUAAUUUUAAAAAAAUAUAGUAACGUACAUAGAAAUAAAUUAUCACAUUAAUUUUAGGGACUUGGAUCAAAAAUUGAAAACCAACAAGGUUUUAGUCAAAGAAUAUUCAUAGCUAGGGACCGCAUCCAAAGUCUCCCUUAUUAAAUACUAUUUUCUCUAUUUUUAAACACGUUCAAAACAUCUUAAGAGGCAUGUAAUGCAAGUUAUAACAAAGGUUUUUCGCACGUGGAUAAUAAUGUGAUUAAAUUAGAUGACAAAUGAUUGUUUUUCUUUUUAACAAACGAUAUUAUCUACACUAAGGGGGAGGGGGUGGGUUUAGCCUCACAAUGGGCUAGCAAUAAUGUGAUUCAAUCAAUUGUUUAUUAAAUAUUAUUUUCUCUAUUCUUAAUGUAAAUUUUAUAGAGGCCGAUUUUAUUAUGUGAAUUUAGCUGCUUUAAUUGGUUUAUGAGGGGUUUCUUCUAGCAUGAUCUAAGAUUAUUCAAUUACUUCAAAUAUUUGACUUUCAUUUUGUCAAUUUACGCAUAUAAAUACUUUUAAAACAUGUAAGUCGCGCGUAACAUGCUGUGAUUCAAAAUAUGUCUUCUGCACGCGCGUGAGCGCUUCCAUGAAGGCUAGUUUCUUAAAAAAAAAAUAGUUUUGUUCUCUUUCAAAUAGAAAAAUAAACGAUUGGAAUGCGACAUUUUAGCCAAUACCUUUGGACGUAUUAUUAAACUUCCAUUUUUCAAAUAAUUUUUUUGUAUCAAAUUGUACAAACUAUAGCUAAAAGUUCACUAUUCAUAACUAUAUUCACUGUUCAUAACCUCUCGAAAAUGAGACAUACAUCAUUAAGUUGUUUAAUGAAAUUUAAAUGACAAAAAAACAGUACUCAAAAUAUUAGAGGAGCAUAUGCUUUUACCUAAUAAAGUACGUGCAUUAUGUAAUGUAUGGAGGUGGAUAUAAAGCUUGUGCAUCCCUUCGAUUUUAUAUGGAGGAGGACACAGAUACAAGAACAAGCAACAAAAGAUAUGAAUAAAACAUAAAUAGGAGUCGAAUUCUACCAGAUAUAAACACAAUCCAAACCACCCUUGCCUUUUGAUGUAAUGAGAGACUGAGGAAGGAGGCCCUUUUAUCAUUUCGUGAUGUAGGGUUUUGUAAUUCUGUGAUUCUCAAUCCAAACAAACCAUGCAAGUAGAUGAAAUUCAGUGCCUACAACCAAAUAAUUAUAAACAAAGCUCUUCGUGAGUAUGGUGGCCCAUGGCAUAUCUAUAUAACUUGAGAGUAUCUAUGGAAAAUCUCAACCAACUCUUAUAAUUUAGUACGUCGGAAAAUAAUUAACUUCGUGAUAUUUGUAUAGCUCAUUGAUAGAGUACAUACCUCGUGCCAAAUUUGAUUCUUGAACACACAUGUAAGCUCGGUGACCACACGUGCUUAACGUCAUCAUUCAAUUUGUAUUGUCAAGGUAGGCUUGAAAUGCACCAUAAAGAUGCAUUGUAACAUCCCACAUCGCCCAUGAGAGUGAUCCUUAAAUGUAUAUUCACAUCUCUACCUAGCACAAGGCAUUUUGGGAGUUCAUUGGCUUCGGGUUCCGUAGGAAUUCCGAAGUUAAGUGAGAAGGAGGUCAGAGCACUCCCAGGAUGGGUGAUCCACUGGGAAGUUGCUCGUGAGUUCCCAGAAACAAAACCGUGAGGGAAUGGUAAGCCCAAAACGGACAAUACCGUGCUACGGUGGUAGAGUGGGCCCGAGAUAUGGUGGAUCCCUGGCCGGAAGUGUGCCAACGAGGGCGUCGGGCCCCUAAGGGGGGUGGAUUGUAACAUCCCACAUCGCCCAAGAGAGUGAUCCUUAAAUGUAUAUUCACAUCCCUACCUAACAUGAGGCCUUUUGGGAGCUCACUGGCUUCGGGUUUCGUAGGAAUUCUGAAGUUAAGCGAGAAGGAGGCCAGAACACUUCCAGGAUGGGUGACCCACUGGGAAGUUGCUCGUGAGUUCCCAGAAACAAAACCGUGAGGGAAUGGUAAGCCCAAAACGGACAAUAUCGUGCUACGGUGGUAGAGCGGGCCCGGAAUGUGGUGGACCCGGGCCGAGAUGUGACAUGCAUAUAUACGAGGAUGUGAAAGAGAUAUCACACAUCGAAAGUACCAAACAUUACAUGUCCUCAAAUUCCUCCCUCUUAUGCCCCAAAGAAAGGAUUAAUUAGAACCCAUGCAGAACUUUUUUGCAGGAUUAUAAUUGUGAACUGUGCUAUAUUUAGCCAUUUCAAUUAGAAAUGACUUUAGUUGAAGUUGAAUAAGUUUUUGUUUCAUGGGUUUUCUAGCUAUAUAUACCCUAUGAUGAUAUGAAGUGGCUAUCUUUAGUAAGAGAAAUUCGUAGUUCCAAUGAGCCAUUGCUUUGUUCCUUUCACAUUUUAUGGUCUUUCUCUUGGUGUGAAAGUUCGGAAUAUUGCUUUCAGAGUGUCCCAAUGCCAAACAGGGUGUUGGCCCUCUUAGGUCUGCAAGGAAUCAAAGAUAUCAAACAUUAUUGUCUACGUGCACAUGUUAUCCUCACAAAAUUCCCUCAGCUAUUCCUCAUAUAAUUCACUUAAGGUUUAUGUACGUUUUCAAAUUAUGAUUUCAAUAUACCAUAUAACAAAAGUAAGUAAUCCACUAAGCUCAAUCACUAGUGCUACAAUCUAAUGAUAUUCUUCUUUCCUUGUAAUUAUAUGGUCUCAUCAUCAUAUUUGACUUGAAUUAUUGAUAAUAGGUUCGAUACCUAAUUGUGGUUGGUCUGUUUUUAAUACACUAAGUCCUAAUUCAUUGUGUCACUUAGCUCAAAUCUCUCGUAUGUCAAUACCGUUGCAUAAUCACUGAUUUAAUGGUUCAAUUGAUAUAAACUGUUUGGCAGCACUCCAUAAACUUGGUUGGUUAUUGAGCAAUACAUUUAUUUGAAUUUGAAUUCAUGAUAGGCUCCAAACCACUCCACUUACUCAAUGUGAACUGUUAAGUGCCUAGAAUUUGAAGUGUACAACUUGUACUUUUAAAAAAUAGAGCACCUAACGCACUUAAAAUUCAUAAGCUAACUAGGGACAGUCUUACUUUUUAGAGUACUGUUGCCCAAAACUUCAUGACAUCAAGGAAGCUUCCCGUUGGACUUUACAGGGCAUUCAGAGGCUUUGAAGGUUGGAUCACAUAUCUAUCUACCUCCUUUAUUGGACACUAACCUUGAAAAAAUAGCAAAAAAGAUAGUGUUAUUCACACAAACCUUUUUAUCUCAUACGCACUCGUAUUAAUUUUUAUCUAUUGAUAUUUUUCAAUUCAUUCGAUAUGAUAACCAAAAAUUGAAAAAGCGUGUGAGAAGUAAAAAUGAGUGUGGAUAGCACCAUCCAACAAAAAAUAUAUGGUCAGUGAGUAAUGAAAUACCAACUUUAUGACUCUCGGAAAAACAUAAAAUAAGUUGAAAUGUAUAGAAAACAAGUUCACUUUUCAGGCGAAAGAUAUGAUGGUCAAAAACCCGAUAUACACAAGAGAAGGUAAGUCUGUAACUCGCAAGACAUAAUAUGCUGAAUUGUUGUUCAGCUUAAUAAUUUCAAUCUAACUAUUUGUAAGUUCAUCAAACAACAACUAUAACGAUAAAAAAUAAGGAAAACUAAUGAAAAGAGCUUGAAAACUUUGAUUUUUAAUGAUAAAGACAAAAUAAAGGGUAAAGUGAAUAGUACCAGGAUUGACUUUUUAGUGUAAAAAUGUGGUUUUUCGUUAAAGUGAACAGUACUGGGUACUUUUCGUUAAAAUUCCCUAAAAAAUAUAGGUCGAAUUUAGUUAAAGUAGUCCUAGUCCAAGCCGAAUCAAGUGAUUAUGAUUCACAGUCCAAACUUUUAUAAUGGUCAGUACCAAAUAUUUAUAUACUGCUGCAUUUGGUUGCGAGGUUUACUGCGGCGAGGUGUUUUAGGUGGAGGUGUUGAUUUUCGGGGAACUUAAAAAAAUCACCGUUAGGUUGCCGUGGCCGUUACAAAACCGGCGCCAGCCGGUUAUUGCGGAGGCUCUGCCUCUUUGUCCCAUUGGACGUGUCUUUUUUCUUCCUUUAUUUUUCUCAAUUUUUAAAAUUACUUUUAAAAAAGUAAAAGGAAAACAUGCAAAAAUAAAUAAAUAAAUAAACCCUUUUCGGCUGAGACCGUUGAUUGCGGUUGGGAAUAAAGCGCGCCUGACAUUGGACAAUGUGACCUUCCUUUUUUGACCACUUCUUUUUUGUCUUUUCCAUUUUUCUAAUAAAUUUAUUUAUUUUUAUUUUGUAAGUGCGAAAAUAUAUAGAAAAAUACAACGACCAACAUGGCCAUCGUUUGGAGGACAAAUUACAGGAAAUGCCAAGUCGUUUUGACGCGUGUGUAAAUUUAAGAUGAAUUUUACCGGGUCCUGUCGGUGGGCGUAAACAAAAUGAUUUAUUUUUUCUUUGGGUAAAUAAAUAAAUAAAACGAAAUUUCCAGAUGGGAGAAAAUAAAUAAUUAAAUGGUUGUGAGUGUUGUUUGUCGGGUUGUCGGGCAUUCGAAUCCUAGUUGCAGGUCAAUCUUCUUGGGUAUCAUGUUACACGGACCAGGUGGAACCAUGCCGCCACCUUCCCUCUCCUUGAUAUACUUGCCAUUUUACAUUUCUACCCUUCUCGUGACUAGAUAGGGAUUGGAGAGGUCAUUUGGUUCUCUAAUUUUACAAAUAGAUUCAUAGUUAAAAAGGCUUGAACUCAUGUGGAUGCAAGUCUUUCUCUACCUGAUAACUUUACGCUUGAAAUUGUUCUAGUAUCUGUCACGCAAGAACGCAUAAUUAAAUAUCGACCAUGCGUAUGUGCAUUACUAAUUGUGGAGUAUGUAUGAUGAAGGUAUUUGGUUUAACCUAGUGAAAAAGGAUCACUUGAUUGCGUUAUUGAAACCAGAAGUUAGGUGACAAGAUUACAAAUAGGAGUUGAGUUUUUUGUGUUGGCACAUAACAUUGGUUUAAGAGAUGUACUAGCAUCAGUCGCACAUAAAAACCUAACUGAAUGACAACCAAGGAUUUGUGUGGGACUUGUCGUGGAGCUUGCGUGACUCCAUUGAUUUGUAGGUGGUUUACCAUGAAUUGUACAUAGAUCAAUAUCUGACCUUUCGUGCAGAAAUUCAUCUCUCUUACUAAUGGUAGCAAGCCUGCCAUUUAUCUUGACUAUGUAGUAAUUGGUGAUUUGCCUUAAUGGUUUAGCUUUUUGUUUUACAAUUGGCAUACCUUCUUUUUUAAAUAAGGAGGUUGUUUUGCUAAAGGGUUUUAGAAUGUGUCGGAAAGGGUAAUCUCGUAACUCAACACAGUAUUAGGUUUCUUCUUGCUUGUUUCAUAAAAUCAAAUCACAAAGUAAUGCAGGCUUUUUUGCAUGGAAAUAUUACAAGAAAUUAAAUGCUAAAAUGCAACCCUAAUUAAUGAAACCCUAAAAUAUUUCUUCAAUCUCUCCAACCAGUCUGGGUCUCUCUCUGUCCAUGCACGAUAUGCUCCUUCCGAUCACAUGGAUUAUUGAGAUUUGACAGCAAACGACCUGCAGUCUCAAUCACUUUCAAAUUUCAGCAUGCAUGCAUAUGCUACCAAAUUAUUGGAACCAGGAUCAUCUCCUGAGCAAUUUCCUAGGGAUCUCGCAAUCUUGUCCGUUCAUUGUAUAUCGUGCGGUCAGAAAUCAUUUAAAAUUUAAAUUUUAAAAUUCAAAUAUGAAUAGUACCUAACGAAAACUGACCGUACGAUAUAAAAUGAACGGACAAGAUUGGGGAUUCCUAGGAUCCCUAGGGAAUUGCUCAUGAGAGGAUCUUGGUUUAAAUUAUUGAUCGAUCAAUUUACAUGUAGAUUUUCUGUCAGAAAUAUAUUUAUAAGAUAUCCCAAUUUCUUCACCUCUAGAAAGUAUUUGGUACAUUCCUUCUCAAUAAUGGAAAAAUUAAUAUUAUGCACCUGCUCAAAUUUAACAAAACUAAUGAUACUAUUUGUACUAUUGUUUCGGAUAAAUAUAGAUUUCGAUUUGGUUUGAGCUAUAAGCAGUUUCGGGUUGGUUUGGUUUUCUCCUCAUCUUCGCAUUUGAGCUUGAAACUGAACUAACUCACACUGCUUAGCUUGUUUCAUUGGUUUUACCGUCACUUAGAAAUGAAACUAUAAUCCAAAUAGGAUCGCGUAAACUGUUGAAAAUUUACAUAUUGUGAAAGUACAACUCAAGAUAAGGAAGGUUCUAAAAAUUGUAAAAGAGGACUAGAGAUCAUGAAUAGUUCUAAGAUAACUUGAUGAAAUUUCAUAUUAUUUUUUCAUAUGAAAAUAUGCAUCACGAUUCACUUGAGAUAAUCAAAAUAACAAAACUUCGAGCUCACCCACUUGCUGUACGAGUUUGCUCUUUCUUGUUGUGGCAAGAUAAAAAAGAAUUACCUCUCUCAAAAAAGAUCAAUGUGGUGAGACAAAGCACAAAUAUCCGUCGGCAAGGAAAGUUGCAAAAAUUGUUACCAGACUAGGGACUACGAAGAUCUCCUCGUCCUUGGGCAAAUCGGUGGAAAACAAGUUGUGGAAAGGGCUAUAGUACCCAGACCGACCAACACACCAGAUAAAACACCAGGGGCAAAAUGGACAUUUAAAAGUGGGGACAUCCCGAUGGACAGAAACUGAAACCUUUUUGAGUCUUUGACUCUUCGACUGCAGCUUCCCAAACCACUGUCUUGUUUUGGUAAUUCUCAACCUCAGUGACCUGCCCAGAAGUCGUAAUAUAUUUAUUAUUAUUUUUUGAACAAAAGAUAUUAUUUGCACUAUUAAAGAAGAUGUCGGUUUUGUUUUAUAAUGGGUUAGAAAUAACAUAGUUCAAAUUCGUUUUUUUUUUUAGAAUCGAACUUAAAAUCUCAUAUUUAUAAGUGAAGAAGAAUAUCACUGUAAUACUAAGUGACUGAUGUCGUAAUUUAAUUAAAAUUAAAUAAAUAUUUCCAUUUUUUUGUUUUUUACAUUUUUUUUCUUCCAAAUUUUAUCUUCAUUAUAUGCAGUAACUUUUUCCAUUCCACACCUACAAUAAAUACACACCGGCCUUCCGAAUAAAGGGCCGGGAAAACCCACAUGGCUCUGUUCUUUUCCCAACUAUUUUCAGCCCCUCGAAAAGAGAAAUAAUCUGAAAUUAUUCAAAAUUAAUUAACAAAAAAUAAAAUAAAAUUUGGGUCCAUACUAAUUUCUGGGCACUUGCACUUUUCCUUCCUCCCACAAUAUAUAGAGGCCCAUUGUGCUCCUUCCCAUUCCCAUUCCCAUUCCCAUUCCCUCCACCCUCUCCUCUUCCUUCUCCUUCUUCUCUCUCUGCUGGUUUAACAGAAAUUUUAGCUGAUAAACCACCGCACAUUGCCUUUUCUUUUGUGUCUUACUGCUGAUAUGGAGAAAUUUGUGAGGGUGGUUUCCAUGGCUCCUCUGUUUCUGCUGCUCUGUUUUCCUUUUGCUUUGGCCGGCCAUGACUACGGGCAGGCUCUUAGCAACAGCAUUCUGUUCUUUGAAGCUCAGAGAUCUGGGUUUCUUCCCCCCAACCAGAGAGUCACUUGGAGAUCCAAUUCUGGCUUGUAUGAUGGCAAGGCCAAUGGGGUAAGUUCUAAAUUCUAAUCACUCUUCCAGUAAAAAAAAAUUACUGGGUUUUGUUGUAAAAUGUGCAGUUUGUUUACCCAUUUCAUCGUUUUGCGUAUAGAUUUCAAUCUUUGAGUUGAAAUCCCAACUGGUUUUUGUAGUUAAAUUACCCAGUUCAUGAUUUUUCAUAAAAACUCAAACUUCCAACUGGGUUAUGGCAAAAUGUUGCAGUCAAAUUUACCCAGCUGAUAAUUUUUCAUAAAAAUUUAACCUUUGGUCUGGAAUUUGCAGGUGGAUCUGGUGGGAGGGUACUAUGAUGCAGGUGACAAUGUGAAGUUUGGGCUUCCCAUGGCCUUCACAGUGACAAUGAUGUCCUGGAGUAUAAUCGAGUACGGCAGCCAAAUGGCUGCAAGCGGCGAGCUCAGCCAUGCCAUGGAUGCCGUCAAAUGGGGCACUGACUACUUCAUCAAAGCCCACCCUGAACCCAAUGUCCUCUAUGGCGAGGUACCUUCCUCCCCAAGUCCUCAACUUUUCCACUUUCCCUAACUAGAAAAAUAUAAUUUUUAAUUAGCUUUAUUUUAGUAAAAAGAUCAUAACUUUUGAGUUUUUUUUUAAGGAAAUUUGAACGAAAAGCUUCCGGUACUGUUUAUUUUAACGAAAAAUUAUAUUUUUACACAAAAAAGUCAAUCCUGAUACCAUUCCUUUACCUUUUAUUUUGUUUUUAUUGUUAAAACUGAAAACUUUUAAUUCAUUUUCAUUAGUUUUUUUUUUUAAUGGUAUAUGGACCAACCCGAAUGCCAAAAUUAGAUUUUUUUUUUCAUUAAUAUAUGAUGUUUUUAGCUUUUGUGUUUAAUGUGUUAGUUUUGUGAUUAGGUGGGAGAUGGGAACACUGACCAUUACUGUUGGCAAAGGCCGGAGGAUAUGACCACUAACCGCCAGGCCUACAAGAUCAGCCCCAGCAAUCCCGGGUCCGAUCUUGCCGGAGAAACCGCCGCCGCCAUGGCCGCUGCCUCCAUUGUCUUCCGCCGCUCCAACCCCGCAUACUCCCGCGAGCUUCUCAGCCACGCGUAUCAGGUCCGUUCCACUAUUAUACUUGUACUUCCCGAAACUAAAUAAAUCAUAAUAUCAAACUGAAUUUAGUCAAGUUGAUUAAGACACGUUUUUUGCACUGAAGUUUGAAUCUUAGUAAUCGUGUAGGAUAAACACAACAUUAUAGUGUAUAAUUAACCACUAGUGAGUUUUAAUGUUUUUCCAAAUAAUUAACAACUUGAAUUUGGUCCCUUUGGUCUAAAAAGAUUGUACUUUUCUGUGGUGGGACCACUAAUCGUAAUGCCGGUUCAAGCGGCGUACGUUAGGCAUUUGCGGCAUCGUGCCGCUGAGAAGUUGUAGGCGGAUACUUUUCUUUUUUUUGGGUCAGGCACUAGGCAGAAGGCAGAUACUUCGGGUCUGAUGCUUUUGGCGCGGGACCGGCGUAUGAUGGCCAACUGUCGUGGUAGUUAGGCAGUUACGUUUCCGGCUUACUUUUUGUUAGUUGGGGACCAGUAUUUAAAAUGUCGAUAUUUUUAUUAUUUUUUGAAUGUUUUUAUUUAAACAUUAGCCGUAUCGAAAAAGUUUUAAACAUCGGUUUCGAAGUUGCUACAGCCCAGUGUGACGUGCGAUUUUUGUCGGUGCUGCACGGCCUUCCUUAGACAUGCAUAAUUAGAUUCCCUUAAUACCCUCACUGUUUUAUUAUAUUUACUAAAGUUGCCACUGAUCUUACGCUCGUUUACUUUUCAGCUGUUUGAUUUUGCGGACAAGUACAGGGGCAAAUAUGACAGCAGCAUCACCGUGGCCCAUAAGUACUACCAAUCCUUCAGUGGCUACAAUGUACGUUAUUGGGCCCUUAUUGGGCUUUUAUCAUUUCAGGCCCAAGAACAGCCCAUUAAGCUACUUCCAUUUUAUAUCUAAUUUUGGUUGGGUGUUGAAAAUUAUUAUUUGUUGUUGCGCAGGAUGAGUUGCUGUGGGCUGCUGCUUGGUUGUUCCAGGCAAGUAACAACCAGUACUACUUGGACUACCUCGGAAACAAUGGUGAUUCCAUGGGAGGAACCGGUUGGAGCAUGACCGAGUUCGGUUGGGAUGUCAAGUAUCCCGGUGUCCAAACCCUUGUCGCCAAGGUACUACUCUUCGAUAUUGCAGAGACUGCGUGUCACUAAACCAAUCGGAUGUUGAUAUCUAUGUGUUUUUUUACAAAUGAAUUGUAAAUUGCAUUUAUAGUGGGGAGACAACUAAUUGGUUUGUGUUUUCUUGGUUGGCAGUUUUUAAUGCAAGGCAAAGCAGGUAGUCAUACAGCAGUGUUUCAGAAGUACCAACAGAAGGCUGAGUACUUCAUGUGUUCAUGCGUUGGUAAGGGGAGCCAAAACGCACAGAAGACUCCCGGUGGCCUAAUUUACCGCCAGAGGUGGAAUAAUAUGCAGUUUGUCACCAGUGCCUCCUUCUUGGCCACCGUCUACUCCGACUAUCUCACAUCUUCCAGGAGUACAAUUCAGUGUGCUUCUGGCAAUGUGGCACCCAACGAGCUCCUAUCAUUCGCCAAAUCUCAGGUAAUUCAUCCAAAAACAUGCUCGUAUUGAAUCAUCCAACACAUUGUUUUUUUUUUUUUGUUUUGUAAAACCAUGUAAUUUGAUGCUAUGAUUGUGUCAAAAUUCUCAGGUGGAUUACAUUCUUGGAGACAACCCGAGAGCCACUAGUUACAUGGUUGGCUACGGAAACAACUACCCUCAACAAGUCCACCACAGGGCUUCCUCAAUUGUUUCCUACAAGAAGGACUCAUCAUUUGUGAGCUGCAGGGGAGGCUAUGCCACUUGGUUCAGCCGGAAAGCUAGUGACCCCAAUCUGCUUACGGGCGCUAUUGUCGGUGGACCUGAUGCCUAUGACAACUUUGCUGAUCAGAGAGACAACUAUGAGCAGACAGAACCUGCUACCUACAACAAUGCUCCCCUUCUCGGUAUAUUGGCACGCCUAAAUGCUGGCCAUGGCGGGUAUAACCAGCUCCUACCAGGUACAUAUACUGACUGUAUUCGAUGUUUCUAAGGCUUAUCGAUUUUAUUUUUUUUUUGUCUUUGUAAUGGUAAUUGAUCUUGGGAGCAGCCUCUCCAUAAAUGGGGGUAAGGCUAGCCGACAUUCACCUCUCCCAGACCCUGCGUAAAGCGGGAGCCUUGUGCACUGGGUACGACUACGACUUUUUUUUGUAAUGGUAAUUGAUGUACUGAAUAUUCAUACAGUGGUUACCACUCAACCAAAAGCAGCUCCACUGCCUGAAGUUGCUCCAGCUUCUCCAGGUAUUAUAUGACUUCUCUGAGGAAACUUUGUUUACAUUCGCAGCCUCUUUUAUGUUAACAUGAAUUGUCGGAAAGUGAUCUGAAAUGAGUUGCUUUUUCUGUAGCUCCAUCUUCGAGCCCAAUUGCCAUAUCGCAGAGGAAAACAACUUCUUGGAUUUCCAAGGGAGUGACUUACUACAGAUAUUCCGCCAUUGUGACCAACAAGUCUGCCAAGGAACUCACAAACCUCAAACUUUCCGUCUCCAAACUUUACGGUCCUAUUUGGGGCGUAACAAAGUACGGCAAUUCCUAUGGUUUCCCAUCAUGGAUCAACUCUUUACCGGCAGGAAAGAGCAUGGAGUUUGUCUACAUCCAUUCUGCUUCUCCAGCAAAUGUCUUGGUCUCAAGCUACUCAUUAGCAUAAGAAAGGAAAAAAGCUCCAUGAAACAAAGGAGAGAGGUUCACACAGUUUCUGGGAUCGGAAUGUAAGAAUUGUGCAGCUAUACGAAUGCAGACCAGAAGAAACAAGUCCUUUUUAUUCCUUUGCAAAUACUACUUAUGAUUGGGAUCUGCAUAGGCUUUUUAGAAGAAGUUUAGGUGAAAAUAAGUACGGAGAUUGGGGAAGAAAGGAGUGACGAGACGGGUUUAAAAUGUGUGCUCAUCCUCUUUCACCUCGACUUUCAGUAGGGUUAUUAUUACAGAUAGGUUUCGAGAGAGAGUUACAGUUAAAACGUGAGUGAGAGUUUGAGGGGGUUGAGAAAAAAUGACUUCUCUCAACUGGUUUCAAGAAGUCUUGUUUCUUUGUACUUCAAAGCAGCUUUGGAUGUCCUUUUGCUUUUUUUUUUACCUUUUUGUGUUGUGAAUGUUGUAAGCUUUGCAACAUUGUUUGAGUGGAAUAUAGUUUGUGCAAAUUACAUUGGGUCUAUCUACCAACUCAGCAACCCCAUUUCAGACAACGUUGAGUAAAUACUGAUCGGAACAGGCAUCGAAGAUCAGCGAAAGGCGUGUCCCAACGUCGGUGCCAUACUCAAAUCUGAUGCUUGGCACUGACAUUGUUGCUCCGAACUUUGUAUGACUUGAUCUUAAACUUCUGCAGCCGACAUAAUUUAGUACAUACAACCCCGCUAUCCUUUUACCCCACGUCCCUCGAGUCUAGUGGUACUCCAAAAACAAUGUAGGAUAGAAAUGGGCAGCGCAGUGACAUGAAGUGAGAUAAAUACUCUCUUCGCCGGUUACAGCGAAAGGGAUAUGGGUGAUGACUGAAUUUACCAGACAAAGCAUCAAACAUACUAGGGUUACAAGUGAUGCAUGUUUGGAAUAAAAUUAUGUAUUGGGCCUAUCUAAGGCCCAACCUGCUAGGCUUUUAACGAAUAGCUUAAUGGGUAUUUAAGCUUAGGAAAAGGAACAGUGUGCAGGCCCAUCUUUCAAAAGUGCUUUAUGACGUAGCAUCGUGGGCGGCUAAAAAACUCUCUUUCACACUGAACGGAAGUAAAUUAGUGGGUUUUGCUCAAGAAAGAUGCUUUCUGAUGACGGUGUGGUAGUUUCAGGAGGAUAAAAGCUUGAACUGGAAGACGAAAAAACUUCCUCUAACAACAGUUAUAAUCUGAAGAGGAAAGGCUUCAACUUGAAGGAAAGUUUGUUCUAUAAAAGGCAAUAAAAAGAUAGAAAAAAAAAAAAAAA